CAACAAUGGCUACGUGCCUUAUUGAAUAAUACACCAACUUGUUUUCUAAUUAUUCCUCCACCAACUGCUUGAAGUUAAUAGGAGUGACAAACGGCGGUGAUCCACUGUAGAUGUCCAGGACUGCCUCCUCGUAUGCCCUCUGGGUAGGAUGUAUAUCGUCCCACAACAGGUAUUCAUUGCGGUUCUCACAGUAAGUAGCGGUCCGAGUGCAACCGGCCAAACUUUCACCUCCACAGCAUGCACUUUGGACAUCUUUAAACCCUGGCGACGUGUCAUUAAAACUUUUAAGUUACUUGAUCACUCUAAUUUUUUUGUCCAAGAUGCAGGAACUAAUUAAUAUUAGUUACAUGACCCCUUACCAAGAGUAGUUAUUGAGCUUACCAGCUGCUUCUGGAUUAGCUAUCAUAUUUGACAGCGCUGCAUAAUAGCUGCCAAGCGAGUACUUCAUCCCCUUCAAUGUGGAGCUAAGAUUGCUUAACAUCUUUUUGACAUCAUCAUUAACACCAACGGCCAAAUCAUUCAUGACGUUGAAGCAAGCUCCGGAAUGGUUAAAUAAUCUUCUUGCGAAUGGGCAGCAACCGACGGGUCCAACGUCGAUAAUCCCAAACUUCCUUGCUCCCAAGUUGUACAACGCCUGUCAUUACAAAGUGUAACUAGCUCUUUUCAGGAAAUUCAGAAAUGUAAUGCUACUUGAGAAGAAAAGAGAGAGGAAGUUCACCUCGAUAUGGUUUUUGUAGUUGGAGAUGAGAGUGUUGCAGAAUCGUUCAAUUUGUGUGUUGCUUGGUGCCGUGUUGUUUAGAACAAAGGCAAUGACGUCGUUGGCCCCGGCGCUGAUGAGAAAGAUAGAUUUCGAGAGUACAAUGUUUGAUUUGUUAGUUGUGGCAAAAUAUUUGAUCUGUUUCGUCAUAGUGAUGGUUUUGUUUCCCUGCUAUAUAGAUAAAUGAAUAAUAUUUUGAUUAGGUGUUGUUUAGUUGUCUAGGAGUUCUAAAGCGGUUAAAGUAGGAAAAGAAAAUAUGUAAGCACUGCAGAAAGCGUAGUGGUGCUCACAGUGGAGUCAAGAAUUCCAGAUCCUCCAGAAGCGUAGUUUACUCCUACUCGAUUGCUGGUGUUCUUUGGGAGGGAAAGAUAUGGUGGCGGACUCAUUCGGAGGCCCAUCUGACGGGCUGCGCACAUCAUCAGAGAUCAGUAGCUAAAAAUGGACAAGUGGGAGGAAUAAUAGCGUAAGAAUUUAUGAUCCAUGUCUUUCUUUACUAUUGUGAUUUUCAAUCAAUAUUUCUAUAUAUAUAACUCAACCAAGCCUGAGUAGCCUAAAUAUAAAAUGUUAGCAAAUAAUGGUUAUAAUUUAGUAAAAGGUGUAUUAUAUUAUGAUAAGAUAAAUGAUUAAUAUUAAGCUAGCUCUCCUAAUGUCCAUUGCUAAAGAUUUGCAAUUAAUGCGGCAACAUUACCUUAUUUUUGAGUAAGUAUAGUAAGAAUGUAUAUAAAAAUAUACAUUAUACACAGAAUUAUGUGAGUUUAUGUAUAAAGCUAUUUUGACUGGUCUCACCUUGUAAAGAAGAUCCUCUUUAUAAUAAAAUAAUUGGUGAAAUGCUCUGUCCUUCAAAACAAAUUGAAAAUGCAAAUUCAUUGUUCGUCGUUACAAGAAAUAAGAGCUUUAGCAAUAAUCAAAAUCACUGAUAAAAAUAAAAAAAAUCAUUUGAAAAAAAAUUAUCAGUGAUUUUUUUUGAUCGCUGCUAUGCCGUUGGAGAAACUGCCAUCACUGUUGUAUUUCAAAUUUUUUCCAACGGUCAUGACCACCGAGAAAUAUAAAGCUUUUCUCUAUGGUCAUGACCACUGAAAAAAGUUGAACUUUUGUCAGCAGUUUCAGAGUUGACCGAUGAAAAAAUAAAAUAUAUCCCCACGGUCAAAACCACUGGACAAAGAUUUAGAAAUUUUUUUCAGCAGUCAGUCAUUUAUGAUCGCUGGCAAUAACCUUUUAACAACAAAUAUGACCACUGGCAGUACAUUAUAUAUUAUUUUUUUAAAAAAAGAUAAUCUGAUAACUUGAAUAUGGGCAUACAUAGUAUUCCCCUUUUCAAUUGCAUCUUAAAGCCAUCUGAUAUAUUAAAAAUAAAUAAUUAAUCAAAAUUUUGAAUUCAACUUUCAUCAAUGAUUAGAUUCAAUUACACUACAUAAAGUAAAUAAAGUUUAUAAUAAAAAGAGCUUUUCAUGUAACAAAACUAACAAUAAUGAAAGUGCAAAUUUUUUUGAAUAAAGUUGUAGAUAUAUCAUUUAAGAUUUUGAUAAAAAAACUUAUUAUUUCAAGUAGACAAAAUAAAAAAAGAACUAUGCACAUCAUGAUUAGGAGCUUUGCACCAUUUUAGGGCAAGUUUAAUUUGCAAAAAAAAUAUAUAUAUAUAAUUAACCCAUAAAUAAAUAAUAUAUAAGAGUAGUAAAAAUUAAUAAAAAAGAUAGGUAAGAAAUUGUAAUACAUACUAUUGUCUCAAAUCUCCUACGAGUUGGUCGGCUGUGAGUCAAAAUGUAGCACUUGAGUGCUUGAUGGCAGAGAACCAACAAGAUAAAGUCCACUUGCCAGAAGUUGUCUGGCUAAGGACCUUCCGAUGUUUAAGUUAGUCAGAGAAAGGGAAUAGUUAAAAGCCUCAAAAAAAUAAGAGCUAAAAAUUUGUAAUCAGAAAACUUACCUAGUCUCUUUGUUUACCAUUUUAUAUAGGAUGAAGAGUGCCGUUACUGUUUAACUCCCAUCUCUAAAAUUCAGGAUAUGGGGAUCAUGGCCUUCACUAGGUGAUUAUCUCAUUAACUAUCAUUAAAAUCGAGCAACAGACCAUUUGUGGGUGAUUAUUGCAUUCCAUAACCGUCAAUAGUUAAUACCUGUGCCGAAUAACUAUCGCUCGAUCUCAAACUUUCUGAGAUCAAGGUAGUAGGCAAAACACCGAGGAUGUCGUCAGUCCAACAUCGAUGGUAAUUGAACUUAGUCGGUCAAGUACCGACUUAGUCUUAUUCCGUUGGACUAAGUCAGCUAAAUUCAUAAGGUCGCAUACUUAGUCAGUGGAGAGACGUGGAUAAAUGUUCGUCAAGUAAGCAACGAAGAUCUAUCCCAACACUUAUCCCCCAACACCCGAGUUCGAUGCUGUAAAAUGAUCGGACGAGAGAAGUUAAUCAAUGCAUGGUUCUGAGUUGCUUUCUUUUAUGAAUUUUAUUAUCAUCUCGAAAAUUGGUGCCUAACUAUUCUACCAUUUUAUGAAGCAAGCAACCAUUUUGUUGUUUCGUAAGCAUGUGCCAGCCCUGUCGCCUCGCAGGACGUGCAACAGUUAAUGCUAUGAAUCAUCUGAAGCAGACUUUCAUAAUGAUUAUGGAAGAUCAGACAACAGAAUAAUGAUUCUUGAGUAGCCCAAGUCAACCACAUGUCAUUCAAUUAUUUGUUUGGUUUGUUUUCAUGUGGAUUUGGCUUAUUUGGCAAAAUCACAAUGGUGAUGUGUCGAAGAGACGAGAAAAUAAUCGAUCGAGGUUGUGGCCAUGUGUCGGAAUCUCCUAUGAUGGCAGGAUUUUUUGUGUUGAUCGCGGCCGUCAAGUGUGCCUAUAAAUAGGAGCCUUCUUCCCUUUAGGUCUUCUUCUGAUUUCAGGGUUUUCACCUCUAGUCCAGCUUUCUUAGCCUUAGUUGCGUGUAGAAUUCAUCUCCCUAGGGGCAUCUAAGCUUCAUCAUCAUUAGCUUCUUCAUCUUCGUCAAGUUCUCCAUCAUUGUCAGUUGAUUCUUGAGGUCAAACUUUUCUUUCCUUCCCAUCCUUUUCAAUUUCUGAGGAUUUUUCUUAGGAAUGGCUUCAUUUGGGAGAGAAUUCGGAGAUGAGAAUGUCGUGGGAGACUAGGGUUCUCAAACUCCGACUGUCCAGAGGGAGACCAAGGAUGUUCCUCAGGAUGCUUUCGAGGACGUUGCUUCCUCUCGAUAGGACCAUCCAGGUCCUUAGGAGUUGGAUGAUUAGCCAGCUGUCGAGAAUCUUUCUGAACCUCUUCAUGAGAGAUUCGAGUUAUCUGAGAUUGAUGUACAGUGGCUAAGGGAUCAUUAUCAUAUCCCUAAUCAGUAUCAGUUGUUAGCGCCCAACAAAGAUGGUUGGGUUGUCCGCCCUUUGGAUGGCUACAUUGCCAUCUACGAGGAGUUUCUUCACUCUGGACUUCGAAUUCCUAUACAUCCAUUUCUUGCUAAUGUCUUUGAUUUGUAUAAUGUCGUUCCUGCUCGACUUACCCCCAAUUCCAUUAAGAUUCUUUCGUUGUUUGUUAUUCUUUGCCACCUUCUCCAUUUUGAAUCGAGAAUUUUUUUUUUCGUACUCUUUUUGUCCUGAAGAAACAUCCUCAGAAAAGAAGAUGGUAGUUCUUUAGUCUCCAGUAUCGUUGUCAAUUCAUUACUGAGCUUCUUUCUUCCAUUCAUGGAUGGAAGAGUAUGUUCUUUUAUGUUAGCACCGACCAUCUAUGGGAUUUUAAUUGGGUCUGGACUACUCCUAAUCUUUCUUCAAAUAAGAAUAAAGUAGUCCUUGAAGAAGAUCGAGAGCAUUACGACUUACUGUUCGGUGUCCAAGUUUCCAUCCAAUGGGUGCUCCUCGAGGAGCAGUCAUUGUAUGAUGUCAGGAUAAGUCUAGUCAACCAUUUAAGUAGAUUUCAUUUUAUGAAUUCUCUGAGUUUUUUUGUCAAUUUUUUUCUUAUUCAUGGACUAAUUUUCUUCAUUGACUUGUAGGCUUAAGGAUUUCAGCAAAGUCCAUCUGCCGUGCCAUCAAAAAGAGGCAAGGUUUAGGGCUUGACGGACCUUCUCGGGGUCUAUCGAAGAAGCCCCAAGAAGGAUCCUCCUCCUAGAUCCCAAGGAAUACACAACCACCAUCGCCGCCCCAAAUUCCUCCAUCAGAAUGGUCUUCACCUCCACUACCAGCACCAGUCAUAUCCGCCAAACAAGAUGAUGAUGUUGUCAUCGUCGGUGAGGCCCCGAUGAGACUCAUUAGUGCGGUCCGGUGCAGGGUGAGUUCGAUGCUGACUGAACUACGGUGCAUGGAGACGUUAGUCAGGGGAAGGCUCCAAUGCAUCCCACAUGCACCACCGAGCUUGGCCCUUUAGAUUCUUCUAAAGAGCAUACAUCACCCUCAGAAAUACGCAUUAAAGUGACUGACAUAGGAGAUCAUCGACUCACCGAAGAGUUGAUGAAAAUGGAGAUGCUUCCUGCUGACUGGGAAGAAAGAAAGGCCCAUCCAGUCGAAGAGAUCAUAUUAAGCUCCAAUGCGCCAUUGAUGUCGGUGAGUUUACUAUCUUUCUAAUAUUUGAUUAUCAUUCCUUCCACCAAAUUGUAGACUUAGUAAAAUUCUUCUUCUUUUUUUUUGUUAUAGCUGGCACAUUAUGCAACAAUUUUGAAUGAAGGGUUUACCGCCUUUGGGUGGCUCAACUGCCAGCUAGAAGAUAAGGCCCAGACUGCCAAUGCUUGGGCAAAUGUUGCUAAGAAACUUCUCCACGUUGUCGAGGAGCUAGAGAAGAAACAUCAGGAUUGCUCUAUUGGAGACCAAGUUGGCUCCUUCUAGGACAAAGCUGCCAAGAAACAUCAGGAUUGCUCUAUUGGAGACCAAGUUGGCUCCUUCUAGGACAAAGCUGCCAACCUGGAAUUGCAGCUGAGGAAAAUAAAAAAAAAAGUUGAACUUGCUGAGAGCCGACUUCAAGGAGGAGAUGGAGUCGGUGAAGUCUAUCCUUGAUGAGCAAAAGGGCAAAAGACAAGAUGCUAAGAAGGCUGCUCAGAUCCAAAAUUCUAUAGUCUUCUUAGCCGAAUCUCUAGAUUCGAUAUCCGAUAUUCUCCAGAUGUUGAAGGCUCUGAUAAUAUAUUUUAUUUAACCUCAAUUUCAAAAAAAAUAAAAUAAAUAGAAAGGAUCUAUCAAUCUGGUCUAGCCUAGAUCUAGAUUUAGGUUAAUUUCCAACUCAUAUUGAUACAAUUCGAGUUGACCCAGACUCAAUAAGAUUGAGUCCAAUUAAUAGAUUAGGUUCAAUUUUCGAGUCCAAUCUACCAACUUGAUUUGACCUAGGCUCAAUUGAAUUGGGUCCAAUCAGAUAGACCGAGUUCACUUAGAUUAAACCCAUCUCUCUCUUCCUCUCUCUCUCUCUCUCUUUCUCUUUCUCUUUUAACCGAUCACAAGGCCCCCCCCUUUGGGGUUUUGUGAGGUCGAUCGGUAGAGGAGGUUUUGAUGAUAAAGCAGUCAGACCGACUGAGGGUGGCAGUGCGACGAUGGCCAGAGGUGGCGGUUAGUUGAUGAUGAUCGGGGACUCCACUAAAAAGCAGAGAGGGCACUGCCCUAGGAUCAGAAGGGAAAGGGAAGAAAAAGAAGGGAAGAAAACUUAUCAGAGAUGGAGGCAGCGGUGAUGAUAGCAGCACACGAGGUGAAGUUCGAUGGUUCUCCUGCCCGACAUCCCUCGACACAGGUGAAAUAGGAUUUUGGAUAGAAAGGUUAGGAUUUUAAAAAGGUGACAGUGCUUGACACAAUAAUACGAUGGCUGCCGAAGAUGGAGAAGGAUGAUGGAGAUUUUGGUGAGGGUUCUAUUAAGAAGUCACUACUACAAAAAUAGGCUAUAGCAGUACUAACUACGGCAGUGAUUUUCAAAACCACAGCUAUAGAUCCUAUGACAGUGAUUAUUUGUAACCGCUACCAUAAUUCAAGCCUACGACAGCAGUUAUCAAGAACUGUUGCCGUAGGCCUAACCUACAGCAUCGGUUAUCGAGAACUGUUGCUGUAGGUGCUGUCUACAGCAGUGCUUGGUUAACUGCUUCCAUAGGUCAGCCCUAUCGAAGCGGUUAUCGAGAAUCGCAGUCGUAUGUCCUGACCUAUGCCAGCAGUUCCUGAUAACUACUACCGUAGGUCUUCCCUAUGGCAUCGGUUCAUGUAACUGCUAUGGUAGGUCGACUACAGCAGCGGUUCUUAAAAAUCACUUCUGUAGGUCCUACAGCAGUGGUUAUCUAACCGUUACCGUUGGCCCAAUAUAAUUUUUUUUAAAUAUGAUAUAAUUUUAAAAUUUAAAAUCUAUCUUCACUAUUCAUUAUUUAAAUAAUUAUUAUUAGAGUAUCAUGACAAAAGUCCACCUAGAUCUAAUAGUCCUAGCUACGUCGAUCAAUAAAAUUUGAUUUCGACAGCUACGAACAAUUGCAUGAUGAUCUAAUAGAUACAGACCAUUGAUAGAUCCAAAAAUUUACAACAAUGAUCUCAUUGAUAUUUGUAGCAUAUUAUCCAAAUUUUACUUCAAUCAGACAUCAUUAUCAUGAUCAAUUUAGCACACGAUGAUUUUGACCAUUAAAUAAAAAAUGAGCGAUCAAAAGGCCAAAUUGUGUCUGAUUAAACAAAUUUUUGAGAUAAAUGAUUUUUGCCAUCAUUUUAAUCAUUUGAACUAUUUUAAUCAUUUGAAUGAUGGUGAUCAUAAAAUUUAAAUCACGUGUAUAAGAACCAUCGAAGAAUGGAUACUGAAGUUGUAGGAGAAGAAUGAGCUAGCUCGUAUUUAUUUCGAUCGAGAAAUGGAUACUGUAGUUGCAAGAGAAGAUGAGCUCAAAUGUGAAGGGUGAGAUUUAUUUGGUUAUCAACUAAUAAUUAAAGUGGCACCUUUUAAAUUUUGAUGGAUAUUUUGUGCAACUUCAGUAUCCAUUCCUCAAUCGAAAUAAAUACUUAAUUCCUCCUCUCACAAUUUUAGUAUCCAUUCUUCAAUGAUUCAUAUAUACAUGGUUUAGAUUUUAUGAUCACCAUCGUUCAAAUGAUUAAAGUGAUGACAAAGAUCAUUUAUCUCAAAAAUCAUCUUAAUCAGACAUAGUUUGUCCUUUCGAUUGCUCGUUUUUUAUUUAAUGAUCGAAAUCAUCGCGUGCUAUAUUGAUUAUGAUAAUGAUGUCUGAUUGAAGUAAAAUUUUGAUAGUGUGCUACAAAAGUCAUCGAGAUCAUGUGGGAUAGUUUUCAGAUCCAUCGGUGGUCUCUAUUUAUAAGAUCAUCAUGCAAUCAUUCGUGACCGUCGAAAUCGAAUUUUAUUAAUCGACAAAGCUAAGCCUAUCAGAACGAAGCAAUCUGUUAUCACGAUAUUCUAACAAUAAUUAUUUAAAUAAUAAAUAAUGAAGAUAAAUUUUAAAUUAUAUUAUAUUCAAAAAAAAUAUAAAAAAAAAUAAAUUCUAUCUCUAUAUAUGAAUAAAUAUGAAAAAAAAUGAAAUUAAGACCAAUGGCAGUAGUUCCUAAAAAAUUGCUACAACAUAUUUAUUACAGCGGUUUUAGAAACCAUUGCAAUAUACCAAAUACCUAUGGCAAAGGCUAUAGCAGUGGCUUUUAAACCACUGCCAUAGGUCCUAUUAAUUUUCCCAGGCACGCCCUGCCUUCUCAUUUCGCGUGCCUGCUUCCCUCCCUCCCUCCCUCUCUCUCGAUCUCUCUCUCCCCGCCCUGCCCUGCCACCAGCCCCAACCCACUUAGCCCCGCUCGCCCCGACCCACUGACGGCCCCGACCCCCUUUGGCCCCUCCUCCGUUGGCCUCGACCCACCACCCCUCCUCCGUUGGCCACAGGUAUUCCUCUCUCUCUCUCCCCUCCGCCCCACCGUCGCUCCCGACCCCACCACUGGCCCCGACCUCGGCCUCUGCCCUAGCUCCGGUCCUGUUUGGCCCUGGCCCCCUGGCCUCGUUUGGCCCCGGAUCCGGCCGUUUGGCCCCCCGCCCCGGCCAUCGGCCCCAGCCCUAGCCCCGUUUGCCCCGGUCCCCCAGCCCCGUUUGGCCCUGACCCCUGCCCCUGUUGGCCCCAUCCUUGAUAUUUAUCUUCACUCCAAUCUCAUUUUGCUUGUGUUAACGCUCCAAUCUCAUUUUGCUUGUGUUAUUUUCUUCACUUUUCUUAGCAUGUUUUGUCAAUUGGUUAUGUUACUUGGUUAUGUUACUUGUGUGCUGUUCAUUACACCAUAAACCAGAUCAUAACUUUCAUUUGUCUUUCUUUCCAUACAAAAUAUUUUCUUUUGGUAGUGUACAAAGUCAUCAAGUAGAUCAUCAUACGCGAGUCAUGUAGUUCCUAGAUAAGCCAACUAUUCCAGAAUCUCCUUUUCAUUGGUAGAAAAUGAAUUCUAGAAAUGGGAUUGUAGGUUCUAGGUACAGAUUUUGUUUUCUUCCAGGCUCACAAUUUUUUUUUUUCGUGCACUCAAAGGCUACACGUCCACUGUGGUAGAUUUUUCGUGCCUGCAUUUGUCACUUAUGAAAAAUCCACCGUGUGCGUGUAUGCACAUAUAUGUGUACAUAUACGUGCAUCUGUUAAUUUUUUUUUAAUAAAGAGAUGGUAACGAUUUCAUAUAAAAAAUAGUUACUUCUUAGUAUGAUUUUAGUAAUAUUUUUUUAUUAUUUUUUUUCCCUUCUAUAAAUAUUUUAACAAUUCUGAAUGAUAAGACGAUCUUAGAUGGCCUGCAGCUAUUUGGCGGAUAACCAUUCGCAGUCGAUUUGAUUUAAUUGUAGCAGAUACUGAAAGUAAUGUUGUAAUGCAUGAUUAAAUGGUGAAUUUGAGUCUUCUUUUUACUUUUAUUUUCUUCACUUUUCUAAUUUCUUGUUCUUGUGCAUUGCAUAGAACCGUAGAUAUUAAUUUUUUAAAAAUCAUUGCAUUGCAUGUUGAUAGACCCAUCAAUUGACUAAUGUAUAUAAUUCUAUGACACCCGUAUAUUCAUAUAUUUUGAUACGGAUAGGAUAUUUUGGAUGGUUUGAAUAUUUAUAUAAAUAUAUGAAUACCGUAGAAUAUAUACAUUGAUCAAUUGAUUGUCUAAUUUGGAUAGUUUAGGAAUUAUAAAUAAUUCUAUAGAUAAUUACAGUAAUCAAACAAUAUGUUCAAGGUGCGAGAUAAAUUUCAGACAUCAUUUUUCUUUAGUUCUCCUCACACAUCUUCAGCCAUGUGGGAAAAACUAAAGAAAAAUACUAUCAAAAUUUUUUUCGAUCUCUAUUGCAUAUCGUUUGAUUACUGUAAUCAAUCGGUAGAAUUAAUAUAAUUUGUGAAUAGGAUAGGACUUAUCUUUACCUAUUAGUUGAUGAUAGGAUACAUUUACUACAUAUAUGAAAAUGAUAUUUAAUGUAUUUUUGUUCGGGCUCUGUCGGUGGGUUCUGGGCCGUGUCAGCAAGUUCUGUUUGGGAAAAGUCGUGCCGAUGGGUUCUGGGCUGUACUAGUAGGUUUUGGGCCGUGCCAGUGGAUUCUAGACUGUGUUGAAACAUACUCCAUCUAUCUCCAGAUUCGGAUUGGUUGUGGUUUCACAGGCACAUACUCCUCCAACCGGCACAUCUGAGCCUCUAUCAGCAGCCACAUCGCUAGCCUAUGCAUCUCCAGCAUAGUCUCCACCCAUGGAUCUAGCUCAAAUACCGGCAUCCACGUCACAUGAUCCUGCUAGUGAGAGUAGGUUUUCAUUUAUUGUGUUAUUUAUUUAUUUAUUUAUUUUUUAUAUAAUUAUUGUACACUCUUAUAUAUUCGUAAUAUAUUUUCAUUGAAGGUGCACCAUCCAAUAGGAUAUUUCGUCGUCCCAUAUGCAUGCCUCAUGUAUGAAAUUGCCAGCAUCAGGUCAUGGUGUAGUACGAUCAGCAGGGGAGGCCAGUAGGGGAGGUCGCAUAGGAGAUGUAUUCUUUUUUCAGAGUGCUUGUGAGGCGGUCUGAUAUCAUUUUCGUUCGGCCCAUAGACUAGCGAGUGAUGGAUGUCGGUGUGAAGGACCGGGUGUGGGAGGAGAUUUAGGUAAGUAUAUGAUAUGUUUAUGCUAUAUUUUUUAUUAGAAUAAUUUCGUAACUGAUUUGUGAUAAUUUUGUAUAGAGGAGGUACGACUUCUCCAAUCAUGAGAGGGCUCGAGAUGUCUGCUUGCAGAAGAUUGGAGAGUUAUAUCGAAACUAUAAGGUCAAGCUCCACAGAGGAUGGCUAGAGCAUCAUAGGGACACUGAGAAGGAGCUUGUUUUUCAGAUCCAGGACUGUCCCCUGAGUCAGUGGGAGGGGAUGGUCAGGUAUUGGAGGAGCCAAGAGUUUCAGGUACAAUUUAAUAACUUAUGAAUUUUUUAUUACAAUGAUAGUUGUAUUUGAUUUUACCUUAUGUGUUUUAAUAUCUUUUUAGGAUGCAUCUCUUCAGAAUCGAGAGAGCCGGGCUGCUCAGCAAUACACGCAUACUCUCGACUGUGAGUCUAUGGCCAGUCGUGUGCAUAGAAAGAUAAUAAAUUUUGACCCUUUAGUUUAUAAGUUAUUGAAUUAUUAUUUUUUUACAUGUUUCUUAUAACAAGCUGACUGAUUGUUAUAGUUGAAGAGAGAGGAGGUGAUGCCUAUCUGUAGCACUAUCUUUCGAUCGAGCCGUACAAACAAGAAAGGCAGGCCGAUGAACGAUGCGAUCGAAAGGAUUUUUGUAAGUAAUAACUAGAGUAUGAUUAGUAUGAUUAAUAUUAUAGCAUUUCUUAUGAUAUUUUAUUUGAAUUUACAAUUACAGGAGUAGUUAGAUGAGCUUGCGACCCAGGGCCCGGACACCUCUGGCCUCCAUGACCAUCUAUCUCAGAUCUUGCGGCCUGAGCACUUCGGAAGGAUUCGUUGCCUUCCUAGACAUAUGCCGACGGGCUACUGGUCUGAGGCGAGUGUUUCCUCACAUGCUUCCGAGAUCAUCAGUUAGGAGUAGCUUGACACGGUCUUGGCGUGUGCAUCUUAUGUUGCUGAGCGCGCAUCUCAGAUUGAGGAGUGUGCAUCUCUGGUUGAUGAGCGCAUAUCUUAGCUACAAAGUGUCAUUUUCUGCUAUGGUGGCACAGCUCUCUUCUCAGCUUAGAGUUGAUCUUUCGAGCAUUCAGGAGAUGAUCACCACCAUUUCAGCUCCAACCCCUCCAGCUCCUACUCCAGCUCCUGCACUUGCUCCUCUAGCUCCUGCUCCAGCCUCUCCUAGUGAUGAUGAGAUAUUUGGAGAGGAAGAUUUUGAUUUAGGGGAUUUUUGAUGUAUUUUAUUUUUAUUUAAAAAAUAUUGUAAUACAAUUUGAUCAGUAAUACAAUUUGAGUAUUUGAGAUAUAUUAUUGAGUUUUAUGAAAUUUUUGAUUCUUAAUUAUAAUAUUGAACUGUGUCUAUCAAGUAAAAAGAAAUAAAAAAAAUAAAUUUAUUAUUUUUUUUACUGCCCAAAAUUCUAUGACAGUGGUUGCACAACCACUGCCAUAGCCGUGCCACCCACUACCGUAGGUCCGUGCCAAUCGCUGCCAAUGUCUAUAGCAAUAGUUAUAAGACUGCUGCCAUAGGUCUAUGAUAGCAGUUAUAGAACCACUGCCAUAGUUUCCAUAUAUGGCAGUGGUUUAUUAACAACUGCCAUAGAAUCUGAAGCAGCUGUCCUGUAACCGCUGCUAUAGAUGUCUAUAGUAGUGAUUUAUUAACCACUGCCAUAGAAGCUGUAGUACCAGUUCUGCAACCCUGUCAUAGAAGCUGUAGCAGCGGUUCUGCAACCACUACCAUAGAUAGGUCUAUAGUAAUGGUUUAUUAACUACUGCUACAGAGAGUCUAUCAUAGCGGUUUACGUAACCGCUGCUAUAGACCUACGGCGAUGGCCGCAGGGUCAGCGAUUGUGUAACCACUGCCAUAGUCUAUGGAAGUGGUUUUGUUGGCUGCGGUAGAGUUCAAUAGAGGAGGGGAUGGGGUGAGAUAGAUCCAAUCUUCAUCAGAUAAGCUAGGCCUCAUCGGCGUAUCUCAUCCCAAUUCCUCCCCCACCAGCCAUGGAUGGACUCGGAAUAGGGUUCCCCUAUUUUAGUCGAACAUGGCAUCAUCUCUCCUCCCCUUCCCCACUGACCAUGGAUGGACUCGGAAUAGGAUUCCCCUAUUCUAAUCGAAGACAGCAUCAUCUCUUUUAUUUUUUUUUGAUUCUGAUGAAGUCGGCAAAGGAUGCCAGCUUCGGGUUGAAUCGGGUCCAAGAGAUUGGUUCUCACAUUCUCCCCCCUAACAAAAAUUUCAUCUUCAAAAUUUGAAAAAUCUAGAUCUUCCAAAGCUAAAGAUGCUCAAUCACAAAAAUCUACAUAUACUAAUUUGUUCUGGCUUGACGUUGCUAAGUAUAUGCUCACAUUAUGAAAAUACUCAUAAGCAAUCUAACCCCUCGGGUCAACUACACUGUUCAUGCAUAUUUCUACACCCAAGCAUUGACUCUUUCCAAUAAUACUUCAUAAAUUGGCAUCUCUAUGUCAAUUCUAAAAUUUCACCCCUUUGAUAUGUAAAUAAGGAUCUCGUAUCUUCUCAAUCAAAUUCAAUAUGAUCAAAAACUUUCUAUCACAUUUAGAAUUUAAAUACAGACUAAUAAGAUCAACACCAAUUAAGUGACGAAGAUUCUGAAAUUGAGAUAUACGCAGUCAUUAAUUUAAGUUUGGGUUGGGAUCAAUUAGAUACAAAAAUCUUAUAGUCAGAUCGAUUUAUGAAAAUCAAUUAUACGUGGAAUAGAGCUUGAAAUGAAUUUAGCACAAAUACUAUGAUGAGGUUUUGAUUCUAUAUAUAAAAGUUAAUGGCACAUCUUGAUUAAAAUCAAAUCAUCAAAAGACUGUGAAAGUGGUAAUGAUUAUGUAGUAAUGGCCUUAGUCACAAUGGUUCAUCAUGAUUAUGGAAAUGAUCUCAGAAUUGAAUCAUAAAAAAUAAGUCUGAGAAGAUAAAGUAUUGAUAUCAUGAUUCUUACAUCAAAGUUGAGAUCAUAGAGAGAGAAUGAAUCGCACUAGAUUUAUUUAGAUACUUGAUAAAUAGAUCAAAUUUAAUUAACAAUCAACUAAUAUGAGAUAUAAGGUGGUCAAAAUUUUUUUUAACACAACCAAUAUAGUCACAUUAUGACUAGCCUAAGAAUCCAUAGCAAUCAUAUUUCUCUUUUAUGAAUAAAAACCUCUUCUAUUGAAAAAUCAUAGCUUCUAUCAAAACACAUUUAGUCAACAAUCAAUAUUUCAAUCAAUUUUAAAUGACUCAAACACCACACUUCCAUUGCACAACUCUAGUUAAUAUUCUUCAAAAUUUUUUAAUGAUCUGAGAUUAAAAUUAUAUAAAAUUCAAGCAAAGAUUUUAUUGUCAAGUAUAUUAGACCAUAAUUAUAUCUCAAGAUAGUUACUAUAUUAGUACCAUGGUUUGAUCAAGAUAUUAACUUCUAAAUCUUGAUUUAAGUCAAGCCAACUCUAGACUAUCUUGAUAAUUCAAUUAGACAAUUCAAAAUCAAUCUUUUUUUUUUUGAGAAAUCCAUCUCUAACUUACUCAUCAGGAUCUUAGAACUUGCUAGAGCAUCAUAAUUAGAGAGGUGAAUCAACUUUAGAAAAUCCACUCAAAACAUUAGAUAAAAAAAUUAUUUCUAAUAAAUAUUCAUCCUUUUACUUACAUUAACCUAAUUUUCUUCUAAUAUCCCACUAAUUCCAAAUUGCAUCCAUAAAAUCAAAAUUUCUAUCAUAUUUAUUAAUCAUAUCAAGAUAAAAUUCUCAAAGUAAACCCAAUGCAAAUAUAACAUAAUACAACUCAUUAAUUAAUCAAAAUAUAUAUAUCAUCUUAUAUCAGUUAUAUAACCUUGAUGAUUUUCUCAAACUUUAAUCUGUGUCAAUCUUCUAUGCUUCAAUCUGAAGGACCAUAAUUUUAUCCAUAAGGAGAACUUAGAUAUUGUGUAACAAUUCAAUUGGCUUUGAGCCUUAUAAUUAUUUUGAGAUAAUCAAUCAACAUUCUAAUUCUACCCCACUAUCACUAAUCUAAGUUCUUAUAAUCCUUAACCUAAGCUUUGAUACCACUCUGUCAUAGUUCGAAUCCAGUAUCCAAAUCAGGCAUGUGAUGCUACACACUCCUUAGGACAAAAUCUUAAAAAAUGAUAUGCAAGGCCUGUCUUCAUAUUCAAAAAUAUCACAUCAAAUCAUACUAGAUAGUGGUAAUAAAAAUGAAUCUCUAAUUUUAUUGAUUCAAAUAAAAUAUAUUUCAUCAAUAUCUCAUCAUAAUUUAGAUUAAUAUUUAUUUUAAAUAAACUAAAUAAAUAUUUUUUAAAAUCUUAUUAUCCUCAUUGCUCGAUCCCAAGCUCCAUAGAAUCUUCUCAAUUUUGAAAAAAAGAAAAGGGAAGAGAGCUUUAUAAGCUCAGUAAGUUAUCAAUAUCUCUGAGAGAUCAAGCAUAAUUAUUUUUUAAAAUAUAAUAAUUUAAUAGUAGUAUAUAAUAGUAUAAUUUUGUUUUGAAACAUGCCAAGCAUAUCAAUAAAAUAUUUGAAAACUCCACUCUCAGUUUUUAAUGACUAUGACCACGAUCAGUCCUGUGACAAGGUCUGAGAGAGACUAGCCCCUGAUAAUAAAUACAUGACACAUCACCAUGUAUCAGCGAUUAGCUCCGAUUGGUUAGAUCCAAAAUAAACUAACUGUGAUUCAUACAAUCAUGAUUAACCCUAUGACAAGGCAAAGAGAUAAGUUCUAAAAUAUAUACGCGACGCAUCUGCGUGUGUCAGUGAUCAGCCCCAACUGGCUAGAUCCGAAAAAACUAGUUCUGUCAGUGAUUAGCUCCAAUUGACUAGAUCAAAAAAAAUAUAUUUUCGAUAUAUGGCCAAUGCUUAGUUUCAUUGGCUAGAUCCAAAUCAUAGUCGACUAGAGAGUUUUUCUCAUAAUUUUUAUAGCAGUCAAUUUCUCAUACAUCGUCAUAUAGUUUUUCAUAAUAAUAUCAAACCAAGCUUUUCAUAUUUUAUUUUUAAAAAUAAGAGAAUAAUUUUAUUCAAGAAUUGUACAAAAAAUAUAGAUAUAAUUUAAAGAUCAUGCAAUUAUUAAAACCAAGAAAUCAUUUUCUUUCAAGUUAGAAAUCAUGCAGAGUUGAUGCCAUACUUAAUCCAAUAUUUUAAAUUAUUUUUCAUAAAUAAAUACAUAAUUUCAAACUUCAAUAUUUUUUAAAUAUUCUAUAUAUGGAAAUCUAAUUUUUUAAAUAUGUAAAUAUAUAAGAAAGUAAAUCCAAGGAUAAGAGAAAAUUUAUCGUUGAUCAGAUCUAAAAUUCUAUAAUCUUCUUAACCCGAUCUCUAGAUCCAAUAUCUGAGAUUCUCCCAAUGUUGAAGGCUCUGAUAACAAAUUUUAUUUAACCUCAAUUUUAAAAAAAAUAAAAUAAAUAGAAAGAGUCUUUCAAUCUGGUCUAGUCUAGAUCUAGAUUUAGGUUAAUUUCUAACUCAGAUCUAUACACUUCAGGUUGACCUAGACUCAAUUAGAUUGAGUCCAAUCAAUAAAUUAGGUUCAAUUUUCGAGCCCAAUCUACCAACUUGAUUUGACCUAGACUCAAUUGAAUUGGAUCCAAUCAGAUAGACCAAGUUCACCCAGAUUAAACCCAUCUCUCUCUUCCUCUCUCUCUCUCUCUCUUUCUCUUUUAACCGAUCAUGAGACCCCCCUUUUGGGGUUUCAUGAGGUCGAUCGGUGGAGGGGGUUUCAGUGAUGAAGCAGCCAAACCGACUGAGGGUGGUGGCAUGACUAUGGCCAGAGGUGGCAGUCGACUGACGAUGAUCGGGGACUCCACCAAAAAGUAGAGAAGGCACUGCCCUAGGGCCGGAAGAGAAAGGGAAGAAGAAAAAGAAGAACAGAAGAAAACUUAUCGGAGAUGAUGGCAACAACGAUGAUAGUAGCAUGCAAGGCAAAUUCUGGUGAUUCGCCUUCUCGAUUUCCUUCGGCACAAGUAAAAUAAGAUUUUGGGAGGAAUGGUUAAGGUUUUGGAAAGGCGGUGGCACUCGACACGGCAACACAGUGGCUGUCGAAGAUGGGAAAGAAGGAGGAUGGAGAUUUCGAUGAGGCUUCUACAGAGAGGUGCAGGGUUUAAAUAGAGGAGGGAUGGGGCGAGAUAGACCCAAUCUUCCUCGAAUAAGGUAGGGCCUCAUCAGCAUGUCUCAUCCCAAUUCCUACCCCAUCGGCCAUGGAUGGACUUGGAACAGGGUUCCCCUAUUCUAGUCGAACACGGCAUCAUCUCUCCUCCCCUUCCCAUGACUCUUUCAUUUGUUUUGUUUUAUUCUGGUGAAGCCGUUGAACCAAGUCCAAGGGAUCAGUUCUCAUAGAUUGAGUCUCUUCUAAUCAAUCAAUACAUUACUAAAUUAACGAAGAAAACAAUAAGAAAAUCUACAAUCCAAAGCUUGUUAUCCUAGUCUCUUAACAUCCAAACAAAAGAUUUUUAGUCGUUCAAUGGAUUAUUUUGCUCCAAUGCAGUAAAAAUUAUUGAAAAAUGCAAGCAAUCGAUACAUAAAAUCCAGCCACCAAAGCACAUUGAUCAACGCUUCCAUUUAUCCCUUCUUGGAAAAAGGAUGAAGUUAAAAGAGGCUACUGUUAGUAUCAUAUAACGUGGAGAAAUAAUAUGAAGAAAGCUUCAAUUUUUUUGGGCCGGUUUGCUAAAAAUAAGUCACAAAUGUAGUAAGAAAAGAGAAAUUCUUAUUGCACCGCAUGUAGUGCAGAAACUUCUGCGCCGCCCGCAGUGCACAAAGAAUUUCUCGUAAGAAAAAGAGAUUAGAUGAGUCAAAAAUACUUCAUGGAGGAGAAAUGGAGCAUGGAGAAAAAGACCCCGGAUAUGGCCUGUAAUAACCCACCAAAAAAAAACUUUAAAUCCCUUUUCAUGCGAAUCUCAAAGCAUAUAAAAAAAAAUUGAAACCUCACACACUGUGCGCGUGAGGCAGGGGACGGAAGACUCCCAUCGGGAGUCUUCCUCUUCUCCUUUUUCUAAUUAGGAGAAGGGAUCCUAGGGCAGCCAAACCCUAGGAUCCAUAGUUUAUAAAGGGAUCCCUCCCCUCCUAACCACCGUACCUUAGAAUCCCUUCCAUUGUUGGCGAGAUAUGCUUAGGUUUUUGCUUGAUCGAUUUUUCCAUGAAGGAUCUUAGGGAUUUCUCCAACAAAUCAGCAAUUCAAUCUCACCAGAGCCCAGGUAAGCCUAGAUCCUCCUCUUUCCUUUCUUCUAGUUGGGAAUUGGAUCAUCAUCACUAGAAAUUUGGCCGACAAUGUGCUGGAUUCGUGUGGAACAGGGCCGUCCCCUAUUUUUCUUCCUUUCUUCCUUCAAACCAGCCAUCAUUGCCAGAUUUUGGUGGCGCUCGAGGGGCCAAGGUCGGCAUCGUCAGGGUCUAUCAAUGUUAGGUGGGGAGUCAUUGCCAUCGAGGAUCAGGCCAUCGAUGGGUGGUCGGCCAAAGCCAUCACCUCUAUUUUUCAAAACAAAAAGAAGAAAAUGAAAAAAAGAGAAGAAGAAGAAAAAGAAAAAGAAAAGAAAAAAAAGAAAAUAGAGAGAGUUUCUCUCUCUUUCCUCUCUGCUAUCUCUAUUCUCUCUCUACUUUCUCUCUCUAAUAGUUUCUUUUCUUAUUUUCUCUCUCUAAUUUUUUUUUCUCCAAACUUCUCCUCUUUCUUCAUGAUUUUCUCUCUCUAGAGUUCUUUUGGACCAGUGGAGGGUCUAGACACUUGGAUAAAUUCAAAUCUUGAUUGAUUCUAAGAGAGAUCUUGGACUUAUGAUAUUUAAGGAUAUUUUUAUAAUUUUUCUAUCCUUAAUUGUACAUGAUUUUUAGGUUUGUCUGUGAUUAUGUAAAGAUGCAACUAAUUGUACAAGAAGAUGUCAAAGAGAACAUCUUGAUUCUGAAUUCGUAGAUCGAGGAGUUUAUCGAUUUUUGUAUUUGAGUCAAUCACAUAUAGAUAUAAAAUUUUUUGGAUAUUAACCACCAAUUUAUAUAAAAAUUAUUUAUGCAUCUAUGAUUUUGAUUUAUGUGGUUUUUGAUAGUUGCAUGCUACAUACUUAUUUGUUAAGUAUAUGUAUGAUUCUGUAUGAAAUUAUGUAUGACAUAUCACUGAUAUUGAUUUGAAUAGAUUUUGGUAAUCGUACGCAUCAAGUUUUGCAAAAGAAUAUGAUUGUAAAUCACAAUAUCUAACAAGCUUGAAAUUGAGUUAUAUAACGGUAUGUGGGGUUAUGGUGCUCUAAGCUAGCCACUUUAUUAAUACUUUAUCACAGGCCUGAAACAUAAUCAUGGUAAUUAUGAGUUGAGUACUUGUGGUCCUAUAGACUAGCCACUUUGUUAGUACCUUAUCACGGGCUUUAAACCUGGCUGUAGUAGUUUAAGAUCGAGCAUUUGUAGUUCUUUAGACUAGCCACUUUAUGAGACCUCAUCAUGGACUUGAAACAUAGUGUGGUAGUUCAGAAUUGAGCACCUGUGAUCCUUUGGACAAGCUAUUUUCUUGAUACCUGUCACGGGCUUGAAACGUGAUUGUGGUAGUCCACAGGGCUAGCUACUUUGUCUAACCUUUGUAUGGGUAGUUGUGACAGUCUACAGGACUAGUCACUUUUGUUGCCUUAUCACGGGUUUAAUACGUGAUUGUGGUAGUCCAGAGCCGAGUAUCUUGAUAUAAUCGGAUCCGAUGUAUGUUGAUUGAGAUAAUUAUAUGAUGUUGAUUAUUGCACAAAAAGAUAUAUUUGCUAUGCAUAUUUUAUAAAUUGUAGUAUCUUUUGGCAUGUGAUUGAUAUAAAUAAUAAUCAUUAAUAUUUUUUUAUUUAUUAUUAUUAUAUUGAUAUUGGUAUGUAGAAAUUCUUACUGAAUUGUAUAGCUCACCCCCCUCUAUUUCUCUUUUUCUCAAAAUUGCAAGAUGUUCAGAUUGGCUAUAGAUCAGAUUCCUGGGUGAGCAGAUGAAUAGAUAAAGUAUCAUUGAAAUCUAAAUGGAUAAUUGAAAAAAUUAAAUUCGUAAUUAGAUAAGUUUUAUCAAUUGUUAUAAAAAUUAGAUGGUUAUGGAUAUUAAAAUUAUAAGAAAUUCUAUAGAUCUUACAUAUUCUUUAGGACUUGCCCUAAGAAGUAUGCGAUCAUCGCAUAUCAAACUCGGAUGUUGGAUUCAGAAUGUGACAAAAUGGUAUUAGAGCUUAAGGUCAUGAUCUCUAGAGAUUAUGACUUAAAAGAUAUUUGAAUAUAUGGUUAUGAUCACUAGGUACAUGAUAUAUGUAGCAUAAAAGAUUCAAAGUUUGGAUUUUAGAUCAUUAGGUAUAUUGAUGAUGUGUAUAACAGAACUGAUGGGUUAUAUCUUGAAUUCAAUAAUUAGGAUUUGGCCUAAGUAUAAGAUGUGUUGAUCUUGAAAUAAAGUAUGAUAUAUUGAAGGAUGUUAAAUUAUUUAAAUUUGAUCGAAAAGAUUUGUUCUAAUUUUGAAGGAUGUUAAGCUCAAGGAUUGGGAUUUUUUUUUAAGUGAAAAAGCUACAUAGGAGCUCUAGGAUAAGAUGAGAAAUUUGUACCCAUAAGGAUUUGAUUUUGCUACAUGCUAAUUUCGAAGACAAAAUUAUUUUAAGGAGGGGAGAAUAUAAUAACCCACCAAAAAAAAGUUUAAAUCCCUUUUCAUACAAAUCUCAAAGCAUAUAAAAAAAAAUUUGAAACCUCACGCGCUGUGCACAUGAGGCAGGGAAUGAUUGGGAGUCUUCCUCUUCUUCUUUUUCCAAUUAGGAGAAAGGAUCUGAGGAUAGCCAAAUCCUAGGAUCCGUAGUCUAAAAAAGGAUCCCUCCCCUCCUAACCACCGUACCUCAGAAUCCCUUCCAUCGCCGACGAGAAAUGCUUAGGUUUUACCUUGAUCGAUUUUUCCAUGAAGGAUCUUUAGGAUUUCUCUGACAAAUUGGCAAUUCAGUCUCAUCGGAGCCCAAGCAAAACCUAGAUCCUCCUCUUUUCUUUCUUCUAGUCAGGGAUCGGAUCAUCAUCGAUCAUUAGGAUUUUAGCCGACAAUGUACCAGAUUCAUGUGGAACAGGGCCGUCCCCUAUUUUUCUUCCCUUCUUCCUUCAAACCAACAAACGUUGCCAGAUUUAGGUGGUGCUCGGGGGGCCAAGGUCGGCGUCAUCAGGGUCUAUCAAUGUUGGGUGGGGAGUUAUCACUAUCGAGGGUCAGGCCGUUGGUGGGUGGUCGGCCAUAGCCAUCCCCCCUGUUUUUCAAAACAAAAAGAAGAAAACAGGAAAAAGAAGAAGAAGAAAGAAAAAGAAAAAAAAAAGAAAAAAAGAAAAAGAAAAGAAAAGAGAGAGAGUUUCUCUUUCUUUUCUCUUUCCUAUCUCUCUUCUCUCUCCACUUUUUCUCUCUAUCAAUUUCUUUUCUUAUUUUCUCUCUCUAAUUUCUCUCUCUAAAUUUCUUCUCUUUCUUCAUGAUUUUCUCUCUCUAGAGGUCUUUUAGACCAGUGGAGAGUCUAGAUACUUAGACAAAUUCAAAUCUUGAUUGAUUCUAGGAGAGAUCUUGGACUUGUGAUAUUUAAGAAUAUUUUCAUAAUUUUUCUAUCCUUAAUCACACAUGAUUUUUAGGUUUGUCCGUGAUUAUGUAAAGAUGUAACUAAUUGUACAAGAAGAUGUCAAGGAGAACAUCUUGAUUCUGAAUUUGUAGAUCGAGGAGUUCAUCAAUUUUUAUAUUUGAGUCAAUCAUGAAUAAAGAUAAAAAUUUUUGGACAUUAACCACCAAUUUAUAUAAAAAUUAUUUUAUGCAUCUGUGAUUUUGAUUUAUGUGAUUUUUGAUAGUUGCACGCUAUAUACUUAUUUGUUAAGUAUAUGUAUGAUUCUGUAUGAAAUUAUGUAGGACAUAUCAGUAAUAUUGACUUGAAUGAAUUCUAGUAAUCAUGCGCAUCAAGUUUUGCAAAAGAAUGUGAUUGUGAAUCACAAUAUCUAACCAACUUGUAAUUGAGCUAUGUGACGAUAUGUGGGGUUAUGGUGCUUUGGACUUAUCACUUUAUUAAUGCCUUAUCAUGGGCCUGAAAUGUGAUCGUGGUAGUUAUAAGUUGAGCACUUGUGGUCCUCUAGACUAGCCACUUUGUUGGUGCCCUGUCAUGGACUUUAAACAUGACCGUAGUAAUUCAAGGUCGACCACUUGUGGUCUUUUGGAUUAGCCACUUUAUGAGACCCCACCAUGGAUUUGAAACAUAGUGUAGUAGUUCAGAGUUAAGCACCUGUGGUCCUUUAGACUAGCUACUUUUUUUAUGCUUGCAACGGGCUUAAAAUGUGAUUGUGGUGGUCCACAGGGCUAGCUACUUUGUUUAACCUUUGUGUGGAUAGUUGUAAUAGUCCACAGGAUUAGCUACUUUUAUUGCCUUAUCACGGACUAAAUAUAUGAUCGUGGUAGUCUAGAGCCGAGCACCUUGAUAUAAAUGGAUCCAAUGUAUGUUGAUUGAGAUAAUUAUAUGAUAUUGAUUAUUACACAAAAAGAUAUAUUUGCUAUGCAUAUUUUAUAAAUUAUGGUAUCUUUUGGUAUGUGAUUGAUAUGAGUAAUAAUCAUUAAAUUUAUUUAUUUAUUAUUAUUAUAUUGAUGUUAGUGUGUGAAAAUUCUUACUGGGUUGUAAAGCUCACCCUCCUCUAUUUUUUUUUUCUCAGCAUUGCAUGAUGUUCAUGAUCGGCUAUAAAUCAGAUUCGCGGGUGAGCGGAUGAAUAGAUAAAGCCUCACUGAAAUCUGAAUGGAUAAUUGAAGGAAUUAAAUUUAUAAUUAUAUAAAUUUUAUCAAUUGUUAUAAAAAUUAGAUGGUUAUGGAUGUUGAGAUUGUAAGAAAUUCUGUAGAUCUUGUAUAUUCUUUAGGGCUUGUCCUAAGGAGUGUACGGCCAUCGCGUAUCCAACUCGGAUGUUGGGUUCGGGAUGUGACAUGACCAGCGAGCAAAAGUGAUGGAGAUACAGAGAGAGGAGGGAGGAAAUGAAUAUACCAAGCAACAAAGUGAAUUACAGCUCAGCCAUGAAAAAUAUUAUUAAUUUUUUGAUAAAAUUCAUAUUUCAGAGAACAAAGAGAUCUUGUGGAAGGAAUGUGGGAGCGGCCACCAGAAAAGAAGUUGAAGAUAAGCCUCUUAGAAGCUAUUCCGUUUAAAAAUUAGUCCCACCACAACCUCUAAUUUACUUUACCCAAGAAACAUAUAUAAAAAGGAAAAGGUAAGAAAGAAAUGAUGGAUUCUUCUUUUGCUUUAAGUCAAUUCACUAAGUGAAAGAAAACUCUCAACAUUUUAACGUUAUUAAAAAUAGAUUUGUUCAGGAGCGAGAGAGCUUGAGAGCUUGAUUUCAAAUCAUGUUGGGGCCUAGUAAUCAUCAAAAUUAAUUCAAACGCCGACGAGAGAGAAGAAAUUUGAUUGAGAUAAUUAUAUGAUGUUGAUUAUUGUACAAAAAGAUAUAUUUACUAUGUAUUUUUUUUAUAAAUUAUGGUAUCUUUUGAUAUGUGAUUGAUAUGAGUAAUAAUCAUUCAUAUUUUCUCAUUUAUUAUUAUUAUAUUGGUAUUGGUAUGUGAAAAUUUUUUCUGGGUUAUAAAGCUCACCUCCCUUUGUUUCUCUUUUUUUCAGAGUUGCAUGAUGUUCAUGAUUGGCUAUAGAUCGGAUUUGCGAGUGAGCGGAUGAAUAGAUAAAGCAUCACUGAAAUUCGAAUGGAUAAUUGAAGGAAUUAAAUUUGUAAUUAGAUAAGUUUUAUCAAUUGUUUUAAAAAUUAGAUGAUUAUGGAUGAUGAGAUUGUAAAAAAUUUUAUAGACUUUGCAUAUUCUUUAAAACUUAUCUUAAGGAGAAUGCGGCCAUCACGUAUUCGAUUCGAGUGUUGGGUUCAGGGCGUGAUAUGGCCAGUGAGCAAAAGUGAUGGAGAUAUAAAGAGAGGAGGGAGGAGAUGAAUAUACCAAGCAAUAAAGUGAAUUACAGCUCAGCAAGGAAAAACUUCUUUAAUUUUUUUGAUAAAAUUCAUAUUUCAGAGAGGCCUUAUGGAAGGAAUGUUGGAGCGGCCACUGGAAAAGAAGUCGAAGAUAAGUCUCUUAGAAGCUAUUCCAUUUGAAAAUUAGUCUCAUCGUAACCUCCAAUUUACUUUACCCAAGAAACGUAUAUAAAAAGGAGGUGAGAAAGAAAUGCUGGAUUCUUCUUUUGCUUUAAAUCAAUUCACUGAGUGAGAGAAAACUCUUAACAUUUUCAUGUUAUUAAAAAUAGAUUUGUUCAGGAGUGAGAGAACUUGAUUUCAAAUCAUGUCGGGCCCUAGUAAUCAUCAAAAUUAAUUCAAAUACCGAAGAGAGAGAAGAAGAAGAGGAGAUUAAAACAGAUAAAGGAAUGAAGAGAGAGAAAAUAUCAUGAUAUUAAAAAUAAUUUUUUUCAGGAGAAAAUCAAUUCAAAUGUCGAAGAGAGAGAAGAAGAAGAGAAGAUUAAAACAGAAAAGACAACAAAGAGAUCUUGCGGAAGGGAUAUGGGAGCGGCCACCAGAAAAGAAGUCGGAGUCGAUAAGCCUCUUAGAAGCUAUUCGGUUUGAAAAUUAGUCUCACCGUAACCUCCAAUUUACUUUACCCAAGAAACAUAUAUAAAAAGAAAAGGAGGUAAGAAAGAAAUGAUGGAUUCUUCUUUCGCUUUAAAUCAAUUCACUGAGUGAGACAAAACUCUUAACAUUUUCACAUUAUUAAAAACAGAUUUGUUCAGGAGCAAGAGAGCUUGAUUUCAAAUCAUGUCCAGAUUUGUUCAAGAGAAAAUUAAUUCAAACGCCGAAGAGGAGAGAGAAGAUUAAUUUGUUCAGGAUAAAAUUAAUCCAAAUACCGAAGAGAAGAGAGAAAAGAAGAACAGAGAAAAAAAUGAAGAGAGAUAGAAUGUUGCAAUCAAAGGCUCAUAGCUCCGUCUGAUUUAUGGACCUCAUAGUUUUGUCCUUUAAAAAAUAUCUUACGUGAAAAAAAUGGUCUCCUCCUAUAUAAGCAAGAGUAUCUCAUGUGGGAUCAUUAAGUAAGAAUACCUCACAUGGGAAGAAUGGUCCCAACCUAUAUAAGCAAGAGUCUCAUUGACUCACAACCAAUGUGGAACUAAUGAAGCUCCCUACUCGACAUCACAACAGUUAAUAUAACAUAUAUUUUUCCUACAGUUUAAGGUGAUUUGACCGCCGGUAAAAAUAGGAGUUUUCUCAGCGAUGUAUGGAGAACGUUGGUAAACAUAAAAUUUUUUCCAACAGUUUAACUGAACCGCUGGUAAAAAUAAGAUUUUCUCCUAAUGGUUUUAUCAGGCCGCUAAAAAAAAUUAGAUUUUUCCUUGUGAUUGAUCUGAUUGCCAAAAAAAAAAAGAUUUUGCUUAACGGAUUAAAAAAUACUGUCUAAAAUUUAUUUUCCCAGCAGUUUGAUUUGAUUGUUGGUAAAAAUAAAAAUUUUUACAGUAUUGUGAUAUGAUCGCUGAUAAAAAUAAAAUUUUUCUCAGCGAUUUCAUCUGACUGCCGGGAAAAAUAAAAUUUUUUUUAGUAAAUUUUUGACCGUCGAGAAAAAAUAAGACUUUGCUUAGUGGAUUCAAAAAAAACACUGUCUAAAGUUUAUUUUACCAGCGAUUCUCUCUGCUGGCAAAAGAGUGCUGCUAAGUCUCUCUCUCUCUCUCUCUCUCUCUCUCUCUCUCUCUCNNNNNNNNNNNNNNNNNNNNUCUCUCUCUCUCUCUCUCUCUCUCUCUCUCUCUCUCUCUCUCUCUCUUUGUUUUUUUUUGGUUGUGCGUGUUUACUGUAUAUACACUUCCUCGUUUGCUAAGGAUGAGCAAAUUAAGUCGGACGUAAACAUUAAUCCAUUUAAAGCUAGAUCUCUGACGUACCCAAGAAAUCAAUGCCGUUGUAGCCAUUGGUGUACCUCCCGGUGGGCCUUGAGUGCGGGAAGUCGAUGCCGUAAGGAAGAAAGUUGGCCUUGCCUACAUCCGGCAGGUAGUUGUUGUUUCCGACGUCCGCCGUAGAGUCACCGAACACAUAGAUCGCCGGAACCUUUGGGUGAGCAUUCCCACUCACAGACAGAGAAAAGAAAAGAGCAAGGAGAAGAACAGGAACUAACGCCAUGGCUGCUGCUUCGAAUUAAGCUCUGAAGCUAUUAUUCCUCUAGGUGUUAUUUAUUUAUAGACUUGGAGAUCGGGGUAAUUAAGAAGACAUGGGAAAGUCAACCCGUCAGCUAUAAGUGAAAGCUUACAUCUACAAUUAGUUAAUAAACCAACAAGGGAGACAGAGUCAUCAGAGCGUCGGUGCCAGCGCCCCAGUGGUGUUAGGUCUCCGUAAGCAGAGAAGGUGCAUGUGACUCUUCGCAGUCCAUUAUGCCAGCUGAUAUAUUCUCUUGUCCUUUUUUUUCAUUAGUCUUGUACCUACGUACCGGUAGAUGGCAUAAAAAUGUGCAAGAAAUCAUCUAGAUGACGUGCAAAUGGUCAUUGCCAAUUGGAACAGUUUGUGAGAAGUUCGGUAAAACUGCUAACAUGCAUGGUAUUCUUUUAUAUCACCAUUGCUUUAGUUUAGUUUCAUCGGUAUAAAAUAAAUCAGAAUAAAUUUGUCCACUAUCUGUUUGUGACAAUAAAUCCACAGAAAUAGCAAAGAUGGAAGAUCAAAUAGCAUAUAUUAUCAUUUUUAGAGUGGAUUCUCGUCACUUAGCUGACCUCAACGAAAGAUCGACCUCAUCAGAGAGCCAAAGUUAUCAAAAAAUCAACUUCAGUGGAAAGCCGACCUCAUCAUAAAGUCAAGGUCAUCAAAAGUCGAUCUCAUCAGAAGACCGAUCUCAUCGAAAGGCCGAGGUCAUAAAGAAGCUGACCUCAUCAGAAUGCUGAGGUCAUCAUCACCUGGACACAUGGCAUCAGCCCAUGACCGACUUGCCCCAAAACUACUAGUAAGUGGAAUGCUCACCUCGGUCUGCUUUCGAACUUCUUUAUCUUACUCCAGUUAACAGCCAACUGAAUCGACAAUUGAGUGGCAUCACUCGGUGAGUUCAUUCAAUCGACUUCUGGGCCCCCUUCCUCCGACGCACGUUGGGCCCAUCUCGACUCCGAGUUCUCAUCCUCUGUCGAUCACGAUCCCCGCUUGUGAGUCGGGAUCCCUAGGCACGGGCAUUAGCCGAGCAGUUGAAACUAAAGUGUGGCCACCAUGCUACCCCGUCGGAUCAUAUCAAGUCACAUCAUCCCUGAGAAGUCCAUGCCACUCUUAGGGCCCUAUCAGAUGGCUCUUGCCUCUAACUAUGACAGUUCCUCACGUGCUAUAAAGUGACAGUAUUCAAAAAAGUCAAAAAACCCGGCACGGUGCCACUUAGAGACAUAAUUAAGGAUAGAAAGGCCUUUUACAGCCUCCCUCUUCUCCUCAAGGUUCCAACUUCACCUAUAUAAAGAGAUAAACAGGAAUCCUCUAGGUACGCCUCCUCUUCCUCUCAUAAACGCUCGCUCUUUUUCAUUUACUGUAGAAAAUCUGAUUUAAGCAUCGAAAGAUCUUCGACGGAGCCACCUCCAAUGGAGGCUUUCCUUGUAGGUUCGUCCACCAUCGACGCACUGGAUGUCACCCCGCUCCAGUGCCUCUGAUCUAAGAUGAAUUUCAGCCACAACAGAUUAGCACAUCAGGUCGGGGUCCUUGUCUACUUUUGAAAAAAAGUGCACAACCCAUUGUUGUGCUACCAUGAAGAGCGUCCUUGAGGCAUUCUAACCCAAGGAAUGCUCUCCGACAGCAACUUUGGAUGGAGAUUAUACUCCAUGUUAGCUAUCAGAGGCAUCCCCACAACCCACUUUACCAAUAUCCAGAAGGAACAUCGUUGGAAAGCCAAGCGCACGGCUCUCGAGGAUGUUCAAUAGGGGGCAGAAAAUCCUUGAUCAAAUAAGAUAGGAUGGUAUGGCCAGAGAAGAUAGGGAUGGCCUCUCCCUGACACUCCAUUUAUGGCUCCCUCCUUUGACGAUGGCAUCAAAUGGUCGAUCCCUGCUCGACUAAUCCUUCAGUACUGGCAUUCUUUCAUCCUUACUUUAAAGCUUAGCUUAGCUUGGGAAUUGGAAGGCCCAGUCAAAGACGGUCUGACAAAUUUUCUUAUCCUAUGUGUGCAAGCCAGCAAUAAAAAUCUCGCUCUUCAAUGAGGGGCCGAAGCCCUCCGUGGCUAAGAAGCAAGAGACAACUGAUUCGGACCUCUGAGGGUCAAACUUUACUUUUUAGUAAAUCUACUACAGCCAACAUAUACCACAAAGAUCCAUAUGGCUAAAGAUCAAGUGUAUAUAUAGUCAAAUUAUAGCAGUCUUACUGUGAACAGCUAAGGUAUAUUAGAUCAAAGGAUUAGUCAUACAACUGUAUAUCGAGUAAAUCACUGAUGAGUAGAUAGCCAUCCAAGUGAUUUCUUGUAAUAGUCAUGCUCGAUAUCCUUAUUCUAUAAUAACUAUCUGCACUCUUGCUCCAGUAUUUUUAUAUUACAGAUUUGAGACUCGUCUAUCCUAAAGAAAGCAACACAUGCAUCAAUCUUAUCAGAUCAUUAAUCAUCGUCUUCAUGAUGAUCUAUUGAUCAGAAGUAAUUCAGAAAUUAAUUAUCAAUGACACAUACUUCAAAUUCUCAAUACUUGAGAAUAUAUGUCAACAUCUUAUUAAUCUCUUGGAUGAUUUAUAGACAUAUAACACAAUAUAAAUAAAAAAUUAAUAUAAUUUUAUUGAUUUUAAUAUUUUAAAUAUAAAAUUAUGCUCCUAAAAAAUUUAUAUGUAUCAGUCUAAUUGGCUUCUAGGAUACAUCUAACACUACUAUCAGUUAUCUAGCAAACUCUAAAUCUUAAUAGCCAUUACUUCAUGAUGAUCAGACUGAUUGUAUAUGAGUAUGUAAACUUUUACACCUUGUAGGUAAUACUUAACUUUCUUUACAACUUUUCAAUCCUCCAUUCUUGAGUCAUGUUGAUAAUAUCCAAGCAUUGAUAUAGUGAAGACAAUGUUUGGGCACAUACAAACAUGGACAUAAAUCAAACUCAUAAUAACUGAUGCAUAGGUUAUAAAUAUUAUUUUAUUAAAUUUAUCACUCUUUACAAUAGAAGCAACCUCGGAAGAAUAUUUUUCUAUCUUAAAAUUAAUACUAUAUAUAGAAAUGUAAGUUGUUUAAGAUAGUCCAAGUAGCCUUUAAGGAUCUAUUUUGUGAAUCUCAAUGUCGAUAAUAUAAAUAGCUUCAUCUAUAUAUUUUAUCUCAAAAUUUUAGAAUAAAAAUGAUUUAUUUUUUCUAAAUGGAUCAAAAUUAUUACUGACAAGUAGAAUAUUAUUCAUAUAAUACCAAAAUUAUGAACUUAGUCCCACUGACCUUCAAAAUUAUGUUAAUUAAUAGUAUUUUUUAAACUUAAAAAAUAUAAUUAUUUCAUCAAAUUUUAGAUAUCACUAUCUGAAAGCUUGUUUAAGUCAAUAAAUAAAAUUUUUUAAUCUACAAAUAAUGUGCUCUUGUCUACUGACAACAAAAUCCUUGGAUUGUUUGAUACAGACCUCUUCUUCUAUAUCACUGCUGAGGAAGGCCAUUCUCAUCCAUCUAAUGUAGCUCCUAGUCAAAAUGAGCUAUUAAGGUCAUGAUAAUCAAAAAAAUAUCCUUUGAUGAAAUAAAAGAUUAAAUAGUUUUUUUUUAAAGUUAAUGCCUUCCUUUUGUAUGAACUUUUUUGUCAUAAAUCUGAUUUUUUACCAUUCAAUUUUAUUGUUGGAAUUUCGAUUGAUCCUAUAGAUCCAUUUGCAACUGAUUGAUCACACCUUUCAAGUAUGUUAACUAAUUUUUAGACAUAGUUAUUAUCCAUAGAGCUCAACUCUUCUUUCAUGGCAUCCAACUAUUGUAAGAAUUUUUCAUCUUUCAUGGCCUGUAAGAAUGACUUUCUAUUAUCACCUUUUUUAUCUAUAUCAGUCAAAUACACCACAUAAUCUAGAGCUAUAAUAGAUUUUCUUAUUCAAGUUAGAUUUUUUGAGAGCUAUCUCUUGAUCCAUUUAUGGUAGUUGUUAUACAGUUGUUUCUUUGGUGAUAGAAAUCUCAUGGGAUAGAACUUAAUGAAGUGAGGAUUCCUUCUGAAUAUUAUCUAAAAGAAUAACAGUAGGACACGUCACUUCAAUCUGCUUUUCAAAUCUAGUAUUUCUUCAAAGAUAAUAUCUCGAGAUUCUCCACUCUCAUUAAACAUAUCAUCUUCAAAAAAUUUAGCUUUAUUAAAUUCUACUAUCUAUAAUGUAUGAGAUGAAAAAUAAAAUCUACAUCAUUUUUAUCUCUCUAGAUAACUAAUAAAAAAAAUAAUGAUCAUUCUGAGAUUAAAUACAAUUUUCCUACGGGUUGUAAACCUUAGCUUCAGCUGGAUAUCUCAUAUACAUAUUUUCUAAACUAAAUUUUUUGCCAGUCCAUAGCUCAUAAGGAGUCCUUUGAACUACCUUAGUAGGGAUCCUAUAUAACAUAUGCAUAGCCAUCUUUACAGUCUUAUCUCACAAGAAAAUAGGUGGGGUAAAAUAACUUAUUAUAGUCCGAACCAUUUAUUUAAGCAUCACAUUUCUUGUUUCAAUUACACAAUUUUGAUUUGGUGUGCUUGACAUUGUAUAUUGGAAUAUAAUGCUCUAUUUCUUUAAAAAUUUUGCUAAUGAUCAUGGUCUUUUCUUAUAUAUCUUUAUAUAUUUACCAUAGUAUUCACCACCUCUAUCAGAUCUGAAUUUUAAUCAUUUUUUUAAUUAUCUCUCUACCUCUAUUUUAAUUUUCUUAAAGGCUUCAAAAAUAUCAGUCUUAUAUAUACCAUGAAUAGUCAUUAAUGAAUAUAAUGAAAUAAUUUUCACCUAUUAGAUAUGGGAAAAAAGAUAUGCAUACAUCAAUAUGAAUGAUUUCCCAAGUUCUUUCACUCCUCCUGGCACCCUUCUUAGACGUGUAUGUCUAGUUUAUCUUUAUAUAACCUCAUAGACCAUAAAAUUAGUGAUGUUUAAUGAUCCGAAGAUCCUAUCCAUUACUAGCAUUUUAUAACGUGUCUCACCUAUCAGCGGUAGUGUCUAAAUCAUAAUAACUGAGAUGGAUAUUAUCCACAAUGGUCAUGUAGAUAUUAACUUUAUCACAAUAACUAUCAAGUAUAUCUUUACAACUUUAUCAAAGGCUUAUUUUUAGUUAGAGUUCAGAUCAAAUUAAACUAAUCAAUAUAAAUCUCAAUGUGUGUUAGUAUGGACUACAUACAAAUGGGCUUAAUCAGAUAAAUCUAAGAAAUGCUUCUAAGCUCUGACGCUAUUAUUCAUCCACUAACUAUUAUUCAUAGAGUGGCGGGAGCGGGAUAAAAAGCUAAUGAAAGCCAUCAUGACCAGCUAUAAUUGGAAGUUUGUGGAAAGUGUGUGUGUAUAUAUAUAUAUUAACUAAUAAACCAACAAGAAAGAUAAAGUUGUCAUAGUGUCAGAUCCAACACCCAAGGGGUGUUAGGUUUCCAUAAGCAAACAACAUGUGUUUUCUAGGUAAUUAAGUUAGAAAGUUUUAAUUUCCUCCUACUUUUUUUCUUUCUUUUUGUUGGUCAGAUCUAUAUCCAUAAAAACUUUGUAUGGAUAUAAAAAAUAUUGUAAUCUUCAAGCCAAACAAUCCAUAUGACUUUGAUACCAUGAUAUUAGAAUUUUAUGAGAUAAUCGAACUUACUUGAAAAAGAAACCAUCGAUGCCAUCCUCAAUCUCUCUAAUCAACCUACCUACAAUCAUAAAAAUAAAUUCAGCUGGAUAUGCUGCUCGCUAUUCACGAGCAGCACCUUAGUUUUUUAAUUCCAACUUUGAGCAUUCUUGAUGGAAAUAGCCUUACAAGCUCUUGGAUGAGUUGAAAAUUAAGUUUGUUGGUGAUAUUUUUUUAUAACGUACCUUAUCCAUUAGAGACAAUAUCUGAAUCAAUUAGUAAUGACUGAGAUAGACAUUAUCUACAAUAAUUAUAAAGAGAUUAACUUUAUCAUAAUAACUAUCAAGUAUAUCCUCAUCUCUUUAUUAGAGACUUAUCUUUAGUCAGAGUCUAGUUGUUUAAAUUAAAUCUACUAAAAUAAAUCAGGAUGCAUGUUAGUAUGGGCCACAUCUAGAUGGGGCUUAAUCAGAUAAAUUCUAAUAGAUACUAUUCCUUCUUUAGCCGUUAUUUAUAGAGUAGGGGAGCUUGGUAAGAAGCUAAUGAAAGCCAUCAUGGCCAACUAUAAAUGAAAGCUUGUGGAAAGCAUGCAUAUACAAUAUUUAACUAAUAAAUCAAUAAGAAAGACAAAGUUAUCAUAGUGUCCAAUCGAGCCCCCAAGGGUUGUUAGGUUUCCAUAAGCAGAUAAGGUGGAGCCAUUAAGUGUUUUCUAGAUAAUUACAUCGAAAAGUUUUAAUUUCCUCCUAAAAAAAUUUUUCUUUUUUUGUUACAGGUUAGAUCUAUAUUCGUCGGUGCCUCCAGAAGUAGGUAGUCUAAGUACAUUCUGAGAGGGCUGUCGAUAUCCAGAGUUUUGACGACGAGGAUAAUUCAUGGCCUUAUGACCCUACUGACCACAACCAAAAUAUGCUUAUGAGAACUAGUGACAAUUCUGUUCCAAAUGGAUUCCUCCAUAUCGACCACAUCGUGAUUCUUUCUUUGACUAGCCCCUGUCACCUUUUUGCUGACUUUCUUGUCGCUUUGACUACUUGCCAGGAUAACCAUCGGAUUUAGAUCUCUUCUUCUGUUGUCAUUCUCUUUCCUAUUGUGUGUUAAUAUUUUCUUGCUCCACAAUCUUUGCUAGGUUAAGAACCUCUUGGUAAGAGGCCAACUGCAUCGGUCUCACUCCAACAUGGAUCCUGGAUUUUAGUCCUUUCUCAAACCUCCUAGCCUUAAUGCUGUCAAUCACCACAAGAUCGUAAAAACUUUAUAUGAAUAUAGAGAAGGUUUCGUUCUUCAAGCUAAAUAAUCUAUACGGCUUUGAUACCAUAAUAUUAGAACUUUAUGAGACAAUAAAACUUAUUUGAAGAAGAAGUCAUUGAUGCCAUCCUCGAUCUCUUGAAUUUGCUAAGUUGCAAUCACAAAAAGAUAUUUUCUUUGGCCCAUUGGUUUCAAUCCUCGCUGCAAGCGCAUUGGUUGCAUAAUUUCAACUUUGGAUAUUUUCGAUGGCAGCAGUAUUGGAUGUUUAUUGCUCUGUUUCGGGGCAAUCAAUCAACUUUGAUAAAUCUAGCUAGUAUUAUCUUUAGCCCAUCUACUCCGCUGCAUGUUAAACGUCAAAUUCGUGCUUUGCUCAAUAUUUCUCCAGCUAGAAGUAUGUGGAAGUAUCUAGGGGUCCCUUUAAGUGCUCAUUCCUUGAAUCCUUCUAAUUGUCAAUAUUUGGUAGAUAGAGUGACUAGUUGAAUUGCUUCUUAUAAAUGGAAAGCCAUGUCCUUGGCCGGUCGCUCAAUGCUCAUCCGAUCGGUACUGUUGGCACUUCCAUUAUACACCAUUGCUUAUGUUCAUGUUCCAUUACUGGUGUUGCAUAAGAUUGAGAAAGAAAUUCGAGCUUUUUUAUGGGGCCAUGCUGCUGAUCCUAGGGCUAUGCAUCUAGUUUCCUAGCAGCAAGUUUGCAUGCCAAAGAAUCAUGGGGGUUGGGAUUUCAAUCAUUGCUACUACAAAGGCAAGCUUCCAUGUGUAGGUUAGCGGUAUAACUUAUCUUGCAAACACAAUCACUUUGGGCUUUAUUAGUUAUUGCUAAAUAUCAAUUUUAAGGUUCAUGGAUUGCAUAUAGUAAGCCCAGAGCUUGUUCUGUGAUCUGGAGGAAAAUUUAUUCUACAGGUUCCUUAGUGCAAUAUCAUUUUCAAAGGGUAAUUGGUACAAGGCAAUCUAUUAAUGUUUUUGCUGAGCCAUGGAUUUCCUCUUAAUGCUUCCCUACAUUCAUAAAUAUGGACCAUAUCAUUACUGAGCUUCAGGUAGCCGAUCUGCUUUCUUCUGGUAGAUCCUGGAACCUGGCUCAGUUGAAUCAUUAUUUUGUUGCUGAUAUAAUGACCCAAAUUCGAUUGAUUGCUUUAGUUCAGGGAAAUUGGGCUGAUCAACUAAUUUGGCACCCUACUCAUUUAGGAUCAUGUCCAUCAUUGCGAUAUGAUUGCAGCAUUGCCUCAUACCUUACCUUCAUUGACAACAAAUUUCAAUUGUUUAUAGAGGUUACAUAUGUCUCCUAGGCUGAAGUUUUUUUGUUGGAAACUGAUGUGGCAGAGACUACCUUGCAAAGCAUAUCUUGUUACAAAAGAAAUUCUAUCAUCUCAGCAUUGUGAUCUUUGCCCUGACCAGAUUGAAGACUGUUCUCAUGUAUUGUUGACUUGUUCUUAUGCUAAAGAGUGUUGGAUGCAUCUUCAUUGUAUUUGACCAAGAAUUCCUUUGUUCACUAAUUUGCCAGCUAUGCUUGACCAUAUGUCGCAAGCUUUGGUUUCAUGGAUUGCGAACAAUUCAUUUCUUACUUCAUCUAAAAUUCUACUUAUAAGAGAUAUUCAUAAAUGGAAAACUAGAUUAAUUCAUUUUCAAAUAUCUCAGGUGUGUCGGGAAGCUAAUCAACCGGCUGAUAAUUUGGCCACAAAAGCUCUACAUCGCGAUAUUGAUUGCUCUAAUACUGAUUUCUUUGAUUCCGACUUCUCUUAUUUAUUACAGGCUGAUGGAAGGCAUGCGCUGUAUCCAAGAGCAGGUUGAUACCUUUAGAAAUAUAGUCUUGGAUUGCUGCACGGGUGUUUUUAGCUUGUAUCUUACAAGAAAUUUCAUUCCCUUAUUUCUGGAACACCAUCAUGAACCUGUGAGCGAUUGUCUGUUCCACUUUACUCAGCUUCUUUGUGUACUGAUGGCUCAGUUUUGUCACCAUGAACACUACUCCUAUGUUUGCAAUCAACAUCAAAGUUCAAUCACUACAAUUCUGUGGUGUUCCAGACUUGGCUAUCAGUCGCAAUUUUGGAGUCUAUGGCAUCCCUCUCUUUUAAGGAGCAUUUUUAUUUCAACUGGAUUACUGCCGGAUGGAUGUUGUUGACCUUUUUUUUGUCAGUUGCCUUUGGCCUUCAUUGCUUAUUUAUGUUAUGCAUACUGUUUGUACUUAUCUUCUAUGCUUCUGUUCCCAACUUCCGUGUUUUCCUAUGCUGUAAUCACACUGAUCACUUAUAAAGCAUUUGCACCUCUUAUUUACCAAAAAAAAAAGAAGCCCAGCCUCCGUAAGCUUAACACCCCAAAAGGAGGAUCCAAUGGCCCCCAUUCUUAUCGUCUGUGACCAUGGCCCAGUGGGCAACGUGGUGAGCGUGCCGAAUAGUUGCAACGUAAACAGCCAGUGGGCCAGAGCCCAGUUGGUAUUGCUACUUGUUUGCGUUUCAUCCCUAUGCGGUACUUUGCUAAUUAAGCGCGAACCAUUUCAGCUUCGCAGCGAAGGGACCCCCAAGUUCUAUAUGUAUGUCUCUUCUUAAUGCAAAACCUACCAACUUUGCCUCGAUAGAUGAAGUAUUAAGGGUUUUUUAAUUCAAAUCACAAUGUCUGAAUCAUGGUCCAUUCUCCUUUUUUGGAUAUAGAAUAGGCUUUGGGAUGGCAUCACGUUAUUAUCACAUCAUGUUAGGUUCUUAACUCGCACAAAUCAUCAAAUUUAAUAUGAAGUUUAACUUUUGAAGCGCUUCUUUAAGCAGGCUCUCCUAUGAUUCCCUUCUACUAUGGUUUAGGCAUACAACAAUGGGAUAAUUGGUUAAAUUUCAUGGUCAUUAACCAUAGAAAUAGUCCAACAUAUAUACAACUGUAUAGAACUUAGAAGCAUUCCAUGUGGCUGCGCUGCACUUGUUGGUUUUGUAUGAGAUAUAUUUGGAAACGCAGGUUACGCAUCAAUCCAUGACGUCUCAUGGCAGAUCUAAUGGUCAUCAGUAUAUUGAAACCUAACGCAAAGCUUCUUAAUUAAUGACAGUUAUCUCAAUUUUUCACAAUGCAUAUUCAGGUACCGUGGCAAUUAUUUGCUAAACUAUCAAGAUAUAUAUAUAUAUAUAUAUAUAUAUAUAUAUAUAUAUAUUNNNNNNNNNNNNNNNNNNNNNNNNNNNNNNNNNNNNNNNNNNNNNNNNNNNNNNNNNNNNNNNNNNNNNNNNNNNNNNNNNNNNNNNNNNNNNNNNNNNNNNNNNNNNNNNNNNNNNNNNNNNNNNNNNNNNNNNNNNNNNNNNNNNNNNNNNNNNNNNNNNNNNNNNNNNNNNNNNNNNNNNNNNNNNNNNNNNNNNNNNNNNNNNNNNNNNNNNNNNNNNNNNNNNNNNNNNNNNNNNNNNNNNNNNNNNNNNNNNNNNNNNNNNNNNNNNNNNNNNNNNNNNNNNNNNNNNNNNNNNNNNNNNNNNNNNNNNNNNNNNNNNNNNNNNNNNNNNNNNNNNNNNNNNNNNNNNNNNNNNNNNNNNNNNNNNNNNNNNNNNNNNNNNNNNNNNNNNNNNNNNNNNNNNNNNNNNNNNNNNNNNNNNNNNNNNNNNNNNNNNNNNNNNNNNNNNNNNNNNNNNNNNNNNNNNNNNNNNNNNNCCAUAUGUGGACAUUAUACGAUUAUACUUCUUCAGUAAGAAUUUCUGUAGUACAGUAGUCAAAUCCAAACCCAUGUUAUUUAUUUCUGCAGACGCCAUCAUCCCUGAUAGCAACUACCUCGACUCGCAUGUUGCAAUUAUGGUUCCCCGACUAACAAUGGCUACCUUAUUGAAUAACACACCAACUUGUUUUCUAACUAUUCCUCCACCAACUGCUUGAAGUUAAUAGGAGUGACAAACGGCGGUGAUCCACUGUAGAUGUCUAGGACAGCCUCCUCGUAUGCCCUCAGGGUAAGAUGUACAGCGUCCCAAAAUAGGUAUUCAUUGCGGUUCUCACAGUAAGUAGCGGUCCGAGUGCAACCGGCCGAACUUUCACCUCCACAGCAUGCACUUUGGACAUCUUUAAACCCUGGCGACGUGUCAUUAAAACUUUUUAGUCACUUGAUCACUCUAAUUUUUUUAUCCAAGAUGUAGGAGCUAAUUAAUAUUAGUUACAUGACCUUGCACCAAGAGUAGUUAUUGAGCUUACCAGCUGCUUCUGGAUUAGCUAUGAUAUUUGACAAAGCUGCAUAAUAACUGCCAAGCGAGUACUUCAUCCCCUUCAAUGUGGAGCUAAGAUUGCUUAACAUCUUUUUGACAGCAUCAUUAAAACCAACGGUCAAAUCAUUCAUAACGUUGAAGCAAGCUCCGGAAUGGGUAAAUAAUCUUCUUGCGAGUGGGACGCAACCGAUGGGUCCAACGUCGAUAAUCCCAAACUUCCUUGCUCCCAAGUUGUACAACGCCUGCCGUUAUAAAAUGUAACUAGCACUUUUCAGGAAAUUCAGAAAUGUUAUACUACUGGAGAAGAAAAGAGAGAGGAACUUCACCUCGAUAUGGCUUUUGUACUUGGAGAUGAGAGUGUUGUAGAAUUGUUGAAUUUGUGUGCAUGUUGUUUGGUGCCGUGUUGCAUAGAACAUAGGCAAAGACGUCGUUGGCCCCGGUGCUGAUGAGAAAGAUGGAUUUUGAGAGUACAAUGUUUGAUUUGUUAGUUGUGGCAAAAUAUUUGAUCUGUUUUGUCAUAGUGAGGGUAUUGCUUCCCUGGUAUAUAGAUAAAUGAGUAUACAUUGAUUAGGUGUCGUUUAGUUGUUUAGGAGUUCUAAAGCAGUAAAGUAGGUAAACAAAAAAAUAUUAUCUAUAGAUCCCUAGAAUAAUCUGGACUUUUUAAGUCUCUGAACUUCUCAAGUGAAAUAAAACCUCUUUGAACUACUUAAAGAAUUAUUUUCGCCAUCCACAUAUUUAUAUUCAUGUUAUACAGAUUUAUGUUCAGAUUACACAGAUUGAUAUUCAAAAUUACACGUUACAUAGUUCUUUGAUUAUCUAAUUUUUAUAGCUAGUUAUGCAGAUUUAUGUUUAUAUUAUACAGAUUUAUACCUUGGUUACACUAUUGUUUUAUCUGAUUACAUAGUUUUAUUAUUCGAUUAUAUAAUUAAAUGACUGGGAUCUAAAAAUAUCUCUUUAAGCAAUUCAAGAAGAUUUUAUUCUAUCUCAGAGGUCCAGAUAUUUAAAAUAAAUUCAGAUCAAUCUAGAAACUUGUAGAUAAUAUUUUUCUAAACAAAAUAUGUAAGUACUGUAGAAAGUGCAGUGGUGCUCACAGUGGAGUCAAGAAUUCCAGAUCCUCCGGAUGCGUAGUUUACUCCUACUCGAUUGUUGGAGUUCUUUGGGAGGGAAAGAUAUGGCGGCGGACUCAACCAGAAGCCCAUCUGACGGGCUGCGCACAUCAUCAGAGAUCAGUAGCCAAAAAUGGACAAGUGGGAGGAAUAAUAGCGUAAAAAUUUAUGAUCCAUAUGUUUCUUUAUUGUUAUUAUUUUCAAUCAAUAUUUCUAUAUAUAUAACUCAAGCCAAGCUUGAGUAGUCUAAAUAUAAAAUGUUAGCAAAUAAUGGUUAUAAUUUAGUAAAAGAUUUAUUAUAUUAUGAUAAGAUAAAUGAUUAAUAUUAAGCUAGCUCUCCUAAUGUCCAAUGCUAAAGAUUUGCAAUUAAUGCAACAACAUUACCUUAUUUUUGAGUAAGUAUAGCAAGAAUGUAUAUAAAAAUAUACAUGAUACACAGAAUUAUGUGUGUGCAUAUGUAUAAAGCUAUUUUGACUGAAGUCACCAGAGAAGAUCCUCAUUAUAAUAAAAUAACUGGAAAAUGCUCUGCCCUUCAAAAUAAAUUGAAAAUGCAGAUCAAACACUAUAAAAAAAUAAAUUUUUGAUGAUAGAAUUAUUUAUGAUAAAAAUAUAUUCAUCGUAAAUAAAGAUAUUUAUGACAAAAAAUAAUUUUCAUCGUAAAUAAGAAAUUAUUUGUGAUGAAAAAAAAAUUUAUAUCGUAAAUAGUUAAGUAUUUACGACGUAACUGAGAUUUACUCACAAAUAAUAUAUCAUUUGUGAUGCAAAAUUUACGUCGUCAAUAAUCGAUAAAAAAUAAAUUUUUUUAAAAAUAAAUAAAUCUCAUUUUAUUGGUUAUGAAAAAUUUUCAUCAUAAAUAAUAAUUAUUUGCGAUGCAAAUCGAAUUUGAGUCAUAAAUAUGUAAUUAUUUAAGAUGCAAAAUUUGCAUCACAAAUAAUUGACAAAAAAUCAAAAUUUUUAUAAAUAAAUAAAUCUUUGAUUAUUUGCGAUGGAAACUUUUGUCACAAAUAAUUGAUGAAAAAUUAAAAUUUUUAUAAAUAAAUAAAUCUCAGAUUAUUUAUGAUGGAAAAUAUUCACCACAAAUAAUAAUUAUUUGCGAUGUAAAAUAAAUUUGCAUCAUAAAUAUUUAAUUCUUUGUGUUGCAAAUAAUCAAUAAAAAAUUAAAAUUUUUAUAAAUAAAUAAAUCUCAAAUUAUUUAUAAUGAAAAAUAUCCAUCACAAAUAAUAUAUUAUUUAUGAUGUAAAUAAUAGUUACGUCACAAAUAACUCUUAAUUUGUGAUGCAAAAUCAAUUUACAUCGCAAAUAAUCAAUGAACUUAAUAAUUUCCAUCAAAAAAUAAUUUUUUUUCUCUAAAAUUUUUCUCUCUAAAAAAAAUUAACAAAAAAAUUAAAAAAAUUACUUAUAGAAAAAUAAUUCAAGUAUUUUAUGAUCGAUUUUUUGAUCAUAAAUUUUUAUAUAUUUUACAAUCAAAAAAUCGAUCGUAAAUAUAUUUUAUAAUCAAAUAUAAUUUUUUUUAUUUUUCUCUGAACAUGAUAUAAUUUUAAAAUUUAAAAUCGAUCUCUAUCAUUCAUUAUCUAAAUAAUUAUCAUUAGAGUGUCACCACAAAAGACUGUCUUGAUCCGAUAGUCCUAGUUAUGUCGAUCAAUAAAAUUCAAUUUCGAUGGUCAUGAAUGACCACAUGAUGAUCUAAUCGAUAGAAACCACCGAUAGAUCCGCAAACUUACAAUAAUGAUCUCGAUGAUAUUUGUAGAGCACUAUCAAAAUUUUAUUUCAAUCGAAUAUCAUUAUCAUAAUCAAUUUAGUACGGAAUGAUUUAAACUAUUAAAUAAAAAAUAAGUGAUCAAAAGAUCAAAUAGUGUCCGAUUAUAAGAUGAUUUUUAGAAUGAUAUUUGCUACUAUUUUAAUCAUCUGUACGAUGGUGAUUGUAAAAUUCAAACCUCGUGUAUAUAAAAUUUUGAUAGGUCCGUCGAAGAACGUCACCCCGGAGCAUUGCAGUGCGAGCACGAGGGAUGGUGUCUCCGUAUCGAUAUUCUGUCCGGCUACACCACACCCAUUAGAGGAUGGUGCGAGCCAUAGUAGACUAAGCUAGGUAUCAUAUGCCGCAACUAUGCCCCUGUGACGCUCUUCAAUGAGCAUCAGGUUACACAGGCUCAGAGAGAGAUCUUCUAUAGCUACUUAUAGAUAAAAUAAUAUUUAGUGAAAUAUUUAAGUAGCACUAUAUUCUUACAAUAUUUAUUAUUGAUAGGCUAUAUUUGAUAUUAUUAAUUUUGAGCUCGAUUACAUACGGCGAGCUAUAGAAGAUCAUUUAUGCUCACGUUUCAAAGAUUAUCGGCAUCGCAUUCAUCACCACUAGUACGCUAUAGUGCAGGACCAUGGGGUGGAGGCAGUAUGGUAGUAGCCAUAUGACAGCAUCAAUAUCGAGGACUGGAUUGUCAUAUACUGCAGGUAUGAGGAUCUGACAUAUCAGGUGAAGUAUCCAAUUUUUUUUAGAGUUUAAUAGUUGAAUUAUUUAUUCUUAAAUUUAAUUAUUUACUUACUAGUUUGGUUGUUAACUAUACAGUACCGAUGUGUCUGAAAUACUAUGAAUCGGACGAGAUAGACUAUUGCGCACUAUGGGGUUCGAGGCCGUUCACUCAUCAUAUCGAGUAGAUGAUAAGUAAUUUAUAUUUAGCAUAUUUUACUCUUUAACUAUUUAAAUUUUUUUAAUAAUUAUUCUCAAAUUAAAGAGAGAUAUAGAGAGCGACAAAUUUUCUAGUAGGAUAGAGAUCUACCAACGGACCUACCAACAAUGGUCAGGAGAGUGGAUGCCGGGGAGCCAGGAGAUUUAUGUAUGUUUUUCCAACUAAUUUUUUCGUAGGCAUUUUGAUUUCAAUACAAGCUUAGAAUAUCUUUAACUUUAAUUUUUAGAAUCGUAUGAUAGAGAUUAGAUCCCAACCUAUCCUUGAGGGCUCGACCGCACCCACAAAUGAUGAGACUAUGAUCAGGUACUUGGUAUGAGAUUCUGUUAUGUUAGAGAGCUAGGAUAUUGGAUCAGAGCUCCCCCAUCCUCCCACUCAUCCAGGACUGACAUCCAUGCUGUCUGCGAUGUUCGAUUGGAGGAGCUACAGAAGUAGGCUACUAAAGAUCGACAGCGAGCUACUGAGGAUCAAUAGCUAAUAAGGCAGAUGAUGAAAUGGAUGGUGCAGAUGAAGCAAAUGAUGAGCGAUGAGGCAACAGCAAAUCGGUCCAUUAUCCUCCACCAAUUUUUCUUCUCCAGAUGCCAAUGCUUGACAGCCAAUGAUUUGUUUCUGUAUUUUUAUAUUUUUAUUUUAGACCUCUUAUAAUUAUUAAAUUUAUAUUUUUAUAAUUAUAUUUUAAUAUAAUAAAAUUAUCAAAUUUAAUUAUUUAUAGAUUUAUUGUCUAUAUUUUUUAUUUUAUUUUAUAGAUUAUAAAUAUUAAAUAUUAAAAAUAUAAAUUAAAAAAUAUAUAUUUAUAAUUUAUUUAAAAAAUAUUAUAUUAUAAUUAGCGAUGAAUUUAUUUGCGAUGGAUUAUUUCCAUUACAACUAAUUUAUAUUUUUAAAAUUCAAAAAUAUUUUUUAAAAUUAUUUGCGACCGAAUUAUUUCAUUGCAAAUAAUUUUUUUCAUAAAAUUAUUUACAAUGAAUUACUUUCAUCGCAAAUAAUUUAUUUUUUAAAUUUAAAUUUUUUAAAAAAUUAUUUAUGAUGGUAUUUUUUUAUCGUAAAUAAUUUUUUGGAAUAAAUUUUUUUAUGAUAAAUUUUUUUAUUAUAAAUUAUUUAUUUUAUUAAUUUUAAAAAUAUUUAAUUGAUUUAUUAAAUUAUUAAUGAUGAAAAUUUUUAUCAUAAAAAUAUAAUUAUUAGUGACGAUAAAUAAAAUUUUGUUACGGAUGAAUGGCAAAGGGUAACUUUUUCGUUUAGAAAGGAAGAUGGGCACAAUGAUGCACGUGAGAUGACGAUAAGUGAUGCACCCAUAUCACGUGCUUGUCCCCGUCAAAGGAGCAAGUCGUGCAUCUCCCCUUCAAAGGAGCAAGUUAUCUCCCGCCGUUCACCCCGAACGGCAGAGGGUCCCGAUCCUUAAAAAUGCAUGUCCAUCGUACGUGUUUACUAACCGGUGUUACCUUGUAAAGAAGAUCCUUUUUAUAACAAAAUAACUGGUGAAAUGCUCUGCCCCUCAAAACAAAUUGAAAAUGCAUGUCCAUCGUACGUGUUUACUGUUUAAACACUUCCUCCCUUGCUAAGGAUGGACAAAUCAAGUCGGACGGAAACAUUAGUGCAUUUAAAGCUAGAGCUCUCACGUACCCAAGAAAUCGAUGCCGUUGUAGCCAUUGGUAAAUCUCCCGGUGGGCCUCGAGUGCGGGAAGUCGAUGCCGUAAGGAAGAAAGUUGGCCUUGAAUACAUGCGGCAGGUAGUUGUUGUUUCCAACGUCCGCCGUAGAUUCACCAAACACAUAGAUCGCCGGAACCUUUGGCUGAGCAUUCCCACUCACAAACAGAGAAAAGAAAAGAGCAAGGAGAAGAACAGGAACUAACGCCAUGGCUGCUGCUUCUAAUUAAGCCCUGAAGCUAUUAUUCCUCCUCUAGGUGCUAUAUACCGGGGGAGCGGUGUAAUUGGGAAGCCUUGAGAAAGUCAAUGCCGCCAGCUUCGACGGAAAGCUCAGUUUUACUCUCGCACCAAAAUGAUUUGACCGCCCGCCUGUAAAAAAAAAAAAAACCUCACGGAAAGCGUGCAUCUACGAUUACUUAAUAAACCAGCAAGGAAGACAGAGACAUCAGAACGGUCGGUCCCAGCGCCCAAGAGGCGUUAGUCUCCGAACGCAGAGAAGGUGGAUUUUUUUAAAAUAUUAUUUUUUAAAUAUUUUAUUUAAAAAAUAUCUCGAUUUAAUUUUAUUUUUUUAAAAAUAUUAUUUUUUAAUAUUUUAUUUUAAAAAUAUUUCGAUUUAAUUUUAUAUUUGAGAUUACUAUUCUGUCUACGUAAAAUAUGAAAUCAUGAAUUUAACUCACGGUUUCACGAUCAUUCGGUAAAUGACGUGACAUCAGUAAAAUUUUGACUUGAGACCAUGGUUUCAAAAAACUAUGGGUUCAAAUCAUGAUUUUUUGAAACCGCGCUUCAAGCCACGAUCUCAAACGUGCCAAAAAAAAAUUAUAAAAAAAUAGUGCAAACCUUUUUUCUUUUUUUGAAUCAUGAAAAAAAAAAGAAAGAGAGAGAAAAAAAUACUGACGGCCUGCGGACGGUGCAGAUGGCUAAAAGGCAGUGCGAGGGGCCACGAGGGGUGGAGUGCGGGGGAUGAAGGUGGCUGAGGACGGCAAUGGAACCGACCGUAGAGGGUGCGGGGUGCACGGGUGGCCAGAAGGCAAUGCGGGUGGUCGAUGGGCGAUGUGAGAAGGGGAGCGCGGCCGAAGGGGGCACUACCAGGAGGGAAAUGCGGUCGGAGGGCCCGAAGGCAAUGCUGGAGGUGCGACGGGCAGGGGGCCAAGAGGGAAGAGGAGUGCGGCCGAGGGGGGCAGGGGGCGCUGUCGGGAGAGAAACGUAGACAGAGGGCCCCGGGGCAAUGUUGGAGGUGCGACGGGCCACGAGGGAAUGGGAGUGCAGAGCAGCAACGGACAAUGCAGUCGGGGGAGAGAAGGCGCAGAGGAGUGGGGGUGGCGCCACGUGAGGGCGGGGAGGGAAGGGAGGCACGGAGGUAGUGGUGGUGGCGCUGCACGGGUCGACCGUCGGUGGAGGAGGUUUGUCGAGGGGUUGGGAGGAAAGGAAGUGACGAGAAGGAAAAAAAAGAUAAAUAUAAAUUAUAUAAUUUUUUAAAAUUUUUUUAAAAAAAUAUUUUUGAAAAAAUAUUUGUUAAAAAUUAAUUUUUAAAAUAAUAAUUUAUUAUUAUUUUUAAAAUCUAUUUCGAAAAAAGAGAAGGAAGAAAAAAUAGAUAUAAAUAAUUUAUUUAAAAAAUAAUUUAUUUAUUUGUUGUACCAAAAAAUAGAUUUUCAAAAUAAUAAUAAAAUAUAAAAUAAAAUGAUAAAUAAAUAAACUGUUAAAUAAAAUAAAAUAUUAAAAAUAUUGAAAUAUUGAAAAUAAUUAGGUUAUUAAAAUAAUGAUGAAGUAUUAUUUUCAAAAAAAUAAUUUUGAAAAAAAUAUUAUUUUGAAAAAUAAUUUAAAAAUAUUUUGAAAUAUUUUUAAUAAUUUAUUUUAAUAAUCUAUUUUUAAUAAUCUACUUGAAGUUACGAUUUCAAAAAAAAAGACAAGCUCUUCUUUCAUGGUCAUUUUUUUCUUUUUUUUUUUUUUGCUCUUUAAAAUCAUGUGGCUUGAAGCCACAAUUUUACUCUUAUCAUAUCAUCUGUUGAGCUAGUCAUAAAAUCAUUGCUUAAAUUCACGAUUUCACAUCUGUCCCGUAUGGAACGAUAAUCUUUAAAAUAAAUUCAGAAAGAAGGUAUUUUUGUAAUAAAAUAUUAAAAAAAUAAUAAAAUAAGAAAAAUCCUCGCAGUCCGUUUUGCCAGCUGGUAUGACUGCCAGCUGGUAUGUCCUCUCGUGCUUUUUUUUUUAAUUAGUGUUGUACCUACGUUCCAGUAGAUGGCAUAAAAAUGUGCAAAAGAAUCAUCUAGAUGACGGGCAAAUGGCCGUUGCCAGUUGCACCAGUUUGUGAGAAGUUCGGUAAAACAGCUCACAUGCAUGGUAUUCUGUUAUAUCACAAUUGCUUUAUUUAUUUAUUUAUUUCUUUUGGUAGAAACACAAUUGCUUUAGUUUAGUUUCAUCAGUAUAAAAUAAAUCAGAAUAUCUAUUUCUAUCAUCUAUUUGUGACAACAAAUCCACGGAAAUAGCAAAGAUGAAGGAUUAAAUAGCAUAUAUUACCACUAUUUAAGAAAAAAACUGAAAAACCAAAAUAUUGGAUUUAUUUAGGACUGCAAAGAGUCCAAGUUAUGUAUGAACAACUUUGCAUUGGCUUGAUAAGGAUCCUUUGAGUUCGGUUGAGUUUAAGACGUGAGAUAGUAACUAAAGCUCCAUUUAUAAAUGAACUGAGGCUAAACACUAAUAGUUUACAACAAUUAGAAUGGCACCAAUCUUGGAUCUUAGUAUAAAAGCUGAGUUUGAACAUCUAAUAUGAAGCUUGGCUUAAGGUUGAGCUCAAUCAGCAUUUCUAUAUGCAACUCGCGCUAAGCUUGAGUGGCGUUGAAACUCCCAUGUCGGCAAGUAAUAGUCAUAAUUUAGUUAAAGGUACGUUAAAUUGUGAAAUGAUUUCAGAUGCAUACGAGUAAUAUUAAGUUAUUGCUGUCCAGACGUCAAUUGCUAAAGGUCAGUUAAUGUGACAACAUUGCUUUAUUUUUGAGCAAGUAUAUUAAAAUUGUGUAAGAAAAUAUACAUUAUACACGCAGCAAUGUGUGUGUGUGACGCUGUUUAACUACCGGUCGUCUCUCCUUCC
rnacentral:lncRNA from 1 species